GAUAAUGCCCUACUGGAACGAGACAAUGUCAUUUCAACACUUCGAUACAGGGGGAACUCCAUGAACAGCUGCAACUGGUAAGAGUUCCUAGUUCCCUGUUCUCAUUUCACUAGUCUCAUCAAUUUCAAAUGCCUGUAUUGAUGUUUAAGUUGAUGUACAUCCAUUGUUAGUUCCUUUAAGAAAAAGAGUUCCUCAACUAGGAAAAUUAUGCUUUGUUUGGAUUUUGGAAAGUUUGAGGUAAAGUAUGAGGGGGAAAUGGAAAAAAAAGAAAGAAAAAUGAAUGUAAAUAAAAAAUAGAUUUUAAGCAUCCGAUUUAUUUCUUUUCUCUUCUCUUUUAUAUAAAGAACGAUGAAUAUAAAUAUGUACAUGUUUUGAUUAACUUCUAUUAUAUUUGUUUUCUCUUUGAUUUUCUACUAUAAAGAAGAAACAAGAGAUUUUAAAUUCCUUUCUGUUUUCUUUUUCUUUUUUCCUUUUCCUAGUACUUUAAAUGAUCCAAAUAGAUCCUUAGAACUUUUGUGUUACUUGUUGUAAUGGAGUUGCCAUAUAUGUACCAUUAUUGUUUGAUUCUUCUGUUUUAUCUAACUGGCAUUAGAAAUUGAAAAAUAGGGGGAAAAGGAAAGAGAAUGCAUGACGCAACAAAGUGGCUGAAGGUACGAACAAUCUUGGCAUUGUUGCUUCAACUGUCUAAUUGGUGUUUAUGAGUAAAUAUGCAUGUUUUUUUCUUAACACAAGAUUGUAAUGGAUAAAGAAUUCCAACUAUAUAAUUUGAGCACUAGUUAAACGGGUAACAUUCCUAUUUACUAACCAAAUCAGGAUUAAAUAGUUACUUCGUUUCCUUUACGAAACGGGCAACUGUCUUCGCUAGGAAACGAGAAGUUCGUGUUCUUGCUUAUCACGAAAUGGAAUAUUUUCUGUUAUUAAGCACAUUUCCCAAAGUGUUUCACAUGUCAGAAUUGCCAAACUAUAAAUACACAAGGUGGUUCGUGAAGAAAGAUCAUGAAAAAAUAACCAAAACAAAGAUAGCUUGUCUGUGAUUGGAUCUGCCCCUUAAAUCUGAAUCUACGAUUUCAUUGGAUGUAAUCUGCUUCCAUGGUUCUUAACCCUAGACAAUGUUCUUUAUCUUUGUCUCUGUAUUAAUGAUUGACCACAGAUUGUGAGAUAAAUGCUUGGGUUGGAACACUUACUCUAUUGGUUUUUGGAAAGUUUGAGAGUAAGAAAAUAGAAAUGAAAAAUAGAAGAAAAGAAAAAAGGAAGUUUGGUUGUCCAUGUAAAAGUUUUAGGGAAAGAAAAUUAAAUUGUUGAGGAACGUAUUUUUCCCAAACUUUCCUCACAUUUUUUAAGUGGGAGGGAUCUUUUAUUUUUAUUUUUAUUUUGCAUUUUCCACCAUUUUUUCCUCAGCCCUUUUUUUCCUUUGUCCUUUUCAUGGUAUCCAAACAUAGGAAAAUCAAUUUUCUUAGCAUUUAUUUUUUCUUUCUUAACACCUUCCAGAAAUUAAACAAAACAUUAUGGAAAUAAAAUUUUCAUGCUUAUAUUCAGGGAAAAUUUUACAGUUUUAGUUAUGAAAUUUUACUUGCUUGUUCAUAUUCUAUGAAAAUGACACUAUCCAAGGUUUAGUGAAAUUAGAGGGACCUCCACCCACAUUUGAAAAGUAGACAUUAUGGAAAUAAAAUUUUCAUGCUUAUAUUCAGGGAAAAUUUUACAGUUUUAGUUAUGAAAUUUUACUUGCUUGUUCAUAUUCUAUGAAAAUGACACUAUCCAAGGUUUAGUGAAAUUAGAGGGACCUCCACCCACAUUUGAAAAGUAGACACUGACUGACAGCUAGUCUUAAUUUAUUGACAGGUCCUCUUUUCUGUUAGUGGAACUUGGUAACAUCAUGCCUAUGAUCUCCCAAAAAAUUAUUUUGCUCCACUUGGAGUCCGUUUAGGAGUAAUUUUGAGAGGGGUUUAAAGCUCUUCUUAAUGCUUGAAGGCACUUACGAAAAGUAGAUGUUUAGUAAACUUUUGAAAAUCAACUUUUAACUAUCUGGAAAAUCACUUGAAGUGAUUCCUAAACAAUCACUUGAUAGAUAAUUUUUCCAAAAAUCACUUUUUUGUUAUAUAAUACAAUGUCAAAAUCACUAUUAAAGCACUUUUUUAGUUUAUAUUCAAGCACUAAACAAUUAGUUUUAAAAGUGCUUCUAAUCAAUGCGCUAUUAACAAAAGUGCUAUAGAUAAUUUUUUUUAACUAGAAUCACUCCCCAAUGGGCCUUUAUUCAAAUAAUAAGUGACAGAAGUACCGAUUUAACACCCAUAAACAACUUUUACAUUCAUUGUAGACUAUGUAAGGUAAACUUGCCCCCAGGCUUGGUAGUUUUUCUUGGUUUAAGCAUGUCUACUACCCCCUCUUAUGUGCAUAUUCAAUUGGUAUAGUUUUAUUUUUUAAAAUUGCAUUAUGAGAAUAAUUUUUUUUUCUUCAAAUAUCAAUUCAUUAAAAAAAAAAAGAAUCAGUUUUCAAGUUAAACUCGUGUAAGAAUUUUAUUUUAUUUUUUUUUGUUGGAAGAAAUAUUAAUUUCCAACUUACAUUAGGAACGUAAAAGGAUGUUUAUAUAUGGAUGUAUUUUUCAGGUUGCUCUUCACAUAUGCCUCCUUUUUUUUUUUUGGUGUUCUGUAAACAACAAAUUUACAAAAAGGCAGUGAGCAAAAAAAGGGGGUACAACCUGAAAUACACAGGAUGUCAACAAAUUGCAUUUAUGGCAAAAAGAAUGAUAAAAAACAAGAAACAAAAAAUAAAAGGGGGAAAAAAACCCUGGCUCCUUAGACAGUCAGCAACAUGCCUUCAUUGAACAGUGUAAUUAGUAUGACCAAAUUCCUAAACGAAGAAGGUUAAUAUGUAAGUGGUGAACAUAAAAAUAAAUAAAUAAAGUUUUCUAUUUUAGUAGUGAGGCCUCUUUAGGUAUGCUGUGCAUUAUUAGUGGCACCAAUUGCAACUCGGUCACCAGGAAACUUCUUGGGAGAGUCUCCAAAAUUAGAUGGCUGGAGGUACCUAUAGUUUGCAGGCACCUAAUUUGUGCUAGUCAGGGCUUGUGAAGGUAUUCCCUAAGUUAAAGUCAAUUUAAGUCCUUCCAAAUUAUGUCUGAUGAUGAAUGCUUGCUAAAAUAAUUGUUGCUCAUCAUUUGGUGAUAGCUUUUCUUUUCUUUCUUUUUGUUUUUUUGGAGAUUUCACUGAUGAUUGAUUAAUAAUUUGAAGUUGCCUGCUAGCAGAAAGUUGAUGGAGGUUUGUUAGCAGUUGGAUUCUAGUCUCUGCCCAACCUUGAAGCAUGGAACAUUGUUCGGCUGCUGAAAGGAGGGAGGAAACGAAUAGAGGGAGAGAUGAUAACUUUUCAUUGUUAGCAUUCAAUGUGAAGAUAUUGUUUUAUUGGUAACUUCCACACUUGGAUAAUGAUAAAUCACCAGUCACGUUAGUUUGUUCAUGCACUCGUUAACAAUUCCAGCUUUAGCUGUGCUGCAUGCCUUUCCUUUUGCACCCGCCCUUCCCCUUCCCCUUCCCCUUCCCUAGUUUGUCAUUGUUUCUUUGCAAUGGCUUUUCAUGCUGAUCGAAACCUAAAGGUUGACCUUAACACCAUUUCCUAUUGGAAACAAUACAACCUCAAAAAGAGACCAUAGAAAGCUGAAACGCGGACUUGAUGAGUGACCUGAAUUCUCUGCAGGUAGGAUCAGAAUGAACAAAUUGGCUAACAAAAAGGAAAGAAUUGUCUAAUUGUUUUGAUUUUAUCUUAUUUAGAAUGCACAUGGGUUUUGAAGUAUUUGCAAACACUUUUUGAAAGAGUGAUGGCUGUGCAAGAGUAGGACAGGCAGCUAAUAAUUGGUGGUACUGCAUAGUCACUGCUACAUGAGUUAGAGCUUUGUAUUCUGACUUUGUGCUCGACUUUGCAACUACUGUUUGCUUCUUUGAGCUCCAAGCAAUAAGGCAAUCACCAAGAAAUACAUAGUAGACUCCUGCUGAUCUUAUAUCACCAAGAUAACUUCCCUAGUCUGUGUUGGCAAAGGCAUUUAGUAUGAAAUUUUUGUUUGGUUCAGAGCUAAGUCCCGGGGUUUUUUUUAAGUAUGUUAAGACCUCUUUUGUAGGCUUGCUAAUGAAUCUCUAUAGGACUUUGUAAGAAUUGACUUAACUUGCUAACAAUGUAUGAAACAUCAAGCCUUACUAUAGUAGAUGUUGCAGUUCUUCAAUUUUCCUACGAUACACGGUAGGAUUUGACAUAGCUUCCCCUUAAUAUCUUGACAGAGUUUUGACUUCAAGUAGCAAGUGUAACAUACGCCUUGGCAGCUUCCAUUUUGGUUUUCUUCAAUAAGUCAACAAUAUAUUUGGAUUGUGUCAAGCAUAAAACAAUAAGCUUUAAUACCAAGAAAGUGAUGGAAUGACUUCAACAGCUUCUCAAUCACCUAGAGAUUGUUUCUAGUGACAAGAAUGCCGUCUAUAUAAACUAAUAGCAAGGGCAAAGUUUUCUUAAAUUUGUAGACAAAUUGAACUUGAAAAUUUUGAAACCCGAAUUGAGCAAGGCACACACGUUGAGGUCUUGUAAGGUCAAUAAAACCUUCUAGUUGGGUCAUAUAAAUAUUUUUCUACAACACUUGACUAAGAAAAACAUUAUUCACAUCUAACUCUUUGAUGUCUCACUUGUUGGAUACUGCCAAAGUAAGUACAAUUUGAAUGGUAGUUGGUUUGAAAGUCUUAAGAAAAAUCAACUCAUGGGGUUUCCAACCAUGCGCUUUGAACUUCAACUUGAAAACCCAUUUAUUUCCAACUACAUUAAGAUUGAGAGAAAGGAAUUAAAUCUGAUAUCAUAUUUUGCAUCAAGGCCUUAUACUCUUCUUCCAUUGCCCCUUUCCAAAUUGGAUCAGCCAGUCCUUAUGAUCCAGUGAAGUUCAGUAGGGCCAAAAUCAAUAAGGUGAGUGACCAGUAGUUGUAAUAUGGUAGUUGGCUCUUUUGUGGCAAGUGGCUCAAGUAAGACUAAACUAGGCUUAUCAAGAUCAUGUGGAGCAUCAUCAUAAGAUGGAUUAGUUUGUGGAAUAUGUGAUGCAAAACUAGGUGUGUUAGGAAAUGAAGGAGUGCCUAUCAUGAUAUCACUCAUAGUUGUUGCAUCAAUGGCAGUGAAAGUACUGAAUGGAAUAAUAAUUUGUUGUGACUCAAUAUGAUUUUUGGAUUUUGACCUAAACAAUUCUUGAUAAGGUAAAAUUCCAAUUCAUGAAAAACCACAUUUCGAGAUAUAUGGACUUAAUAGGAAGAAUGAAGUUAUAACCUACAAAUAAGCACUUUGAUGAUCGAAAUUGAAGCUUGUUGGAGUUAUAUGGCCUUAAGUGAGGAAAACUAGAAUAUCCAAAAACAAGGGAUAAGACUUGUUGAGAAGUAGUGUUGGUAAAUGAGUAAUAAGACUUGCAACAGAGGAGAAUGCAUGCCAUCAAAAUGUGAGACAUGGAAGCUUAGUGUCAGAAGAAUUCGUUCAAAAUUAUCCUUCACUUGAACUUUAUAAGGGAGAAAUAGGGAUGCAACUUGGCUUGGUUGGUUCGACCCAAUAUGAAAUUUAGAGAGACUUUUAUAAUUAUUUUAAUACUUGGGUUGGUUUUGGGGUUAGAUUUUUUAAAAAAUUUGGUUUGGGUUUGGGUUAAUGUCAGACAAUCUAAUCUAAGUCUGAUUUAAUGUUUUUAUAAUAUUCAUAAUGUUUAUUAACUUAUAUAAUAAUAUUAAUUUUCUUUUUAGAUUUUAAAAAAUAUAUCAUAUUAUAUUAUAUCAUAUGCUUUUUCAAUUUUUUUUUUUGAAAAAUAUAUACAUUUUUUUUCAUUUUUUUUGUUGGAAAUAUUUUACACACUAAUGUAAAAAUAAUCAUAAAAUAUAAACUCCUUAAAAUUAAUUCAAUCCCAUAUAUUUACUGAUUAAAGGUAGUGAUUAAGAUGAUCAAAUUUAAUAUCCAUAUCAUUAAAAGAUAGUAUAUGAAUGAUCAAAGAUAGUAUAUUUGAUAAUAAUAAAAAAAGUGUGUGAAAUAUUAAUUAUUUUUAAAUAAUUACUUGAAAUUCUUAUUUUUCAGAAUCAAAACAUAGAACUAGGAGAAGAUUAUUAUCUUUCAUCACAAUUGCUUAUAGUUACGGUGAAUUCUAUCAGCAAGAAGCCCCUUUGGGUUUGUGGCUCCCAAGUUUAAUUUAUUUAAUUGCGCAAACAUACCUUUACACGUUUUGAUGCAAUUUUAAAUUUAAUAAUUCCACUUUCUUCCUUUAUGACAAAUUUAUGUGAUGAUGACCGUUGAGCUAAUCUCAUGAAAACUAGUUAGGUAUAAAUAAAAUUAGGAAUUAAUUCCUAAUUCUCUUUAAUUUACAUUUAAUACAUAUUUAUUAAGAAAAUUUAAAAAUAAUAAAAGUUAUUUAUAAAUUUAUAUUUUAAAGAUUUUUUUUUUUUUUACCUUUCUUCUAUAUAUUUUCCUUAUUUUUAGAAAAUCAAAAUUAAAAAAAGGUAAAAAAUCUCCCUUUCAUUAAAAUAUACUUUUUUUAACCAUUUGUUAAUGAUUUGUUUUAACAAUUUUAAUGCUCGUUUUGUGAACUUGUAUUUAAAAAUUAUUUUUUAUUUUUAACUUAAAAAUAGUUUUUAAAAACAAGUUUUAGAAAACAUGAUUCAAUGGAUUUAUGUUUUUGUUUUUAUUUUUUAAAAGUAGUAAAAAUGACUUUUACUUAUUUUCUAAAAAUUGUUAAUUAUUUUGAUUUAUUUUUAAAAAUUAUUUUUUAAAGAACAACGGUUAAAUAAUAUUAUAAAAUUUUAAAAACAAUUUUUUGUUUUUAAAAGCAAAAAACUAUUUUAAAAUCAUAUAGCUAGAUAGAUUUGUAGGACCCAUUUGGUUAUGUUUGAUAAAAAUGUUUUUUAUUUCCUAAUUUAAAAACAGUUUUUAAAAAUAAAUUUAAGAAAACAUAGUCAAAGGAACCCAUGCUUUUUUUUGUUUUAAAAAAUCUAUGAAAUUAACUUCUAUUUAUUAUUUAAAAAUUGCUUUUUAUUUUAUUUUAUUUUUAAAAAUUGUUUCCAAAAAAUAAUGGUAAAACAGUAUUAGAAGUUUUUAAAAAUAUUUUUCUAUUUUAAGGGAAAAAAAAACUGUUUUGGCCAAACAGGCUCUUAACCUCCGAAAGUUUUUACUUUUUAAUACUAGAAUGUGGAUUAAAGAUAUUUAAUAUAAAAUAUCUUUUAUUGGUGGCGUAGAGUGUAAUAAUAUUGUGUAAAAUAUGUAUAGAAUUCGGACACCAGCUGGCGAGGUCUGCGACACGAAUCUGGAAGUACCCUUAAAUCUAACGGCUACAGGAGAGCCACACCGGUGCCGUUUCAAACACCUAGAGGCAGACAGAGGUGCACAUAUGACGUACCAUGCAAUUUUCUUUUAUUAAGCUUGGGUUGGUAAAAGAAUAAAAAGUAAAAUUGAGUGAAUAAUUAAUUGGGGCGGAAGGAAGGAAACGAGUAUAAACCCAGUGCCCCCUUCUACUGUUUCCCCUCUUCAACGCACAGUCUCACAUUUCAAGAGCUAGGGUUUCUCAAUUUUGCUGUCUCUGCCACUUCUAGGUGAGCUCCGAUUUCUCUGCUACUCUUCAAUGGCGAUUUUCUAUGCUCUAUUCUCACUUCUCGUCGCUUAUGUUUCUCUAGCUGGUAAUAGUGAUUUCGGACACCUAGCUAAAUGCCAUCUCCAUUUCGUUUGCACCAUCGGAGUUUCGAAUUCGUAUCACUGCAUUGAUUUUGUUGAAUUGGUGUGGUUUCUGUUUGUUUGAUUUGGAUGCGUGGUUGAGAUUGAGUUGUGUGCGAAGGUUGCUUUGACUGACUUGUUAGGGCUGGUUUUGUCAUAUAGAGCUGAAUUCUGUGAGUUCUUUUGCUAUCUUUUGGGUGUGUAUGAGUAGCGGGAAGCUUUGAUUUUGCUAUUUGUGGUUUUUCUGGAUCUUGGGUUUCUAGGGGAAAUUGGGAAUUUCUGGAAUUUGUUGUUUUUGUGCAUGGAGGCUCGGUUGUUAGUUUAGCUCUGGAAGUGAUACAGCCCUUUUGACCCCUCGGAAGGGGAGUUUUGGUGUGGGAAUCUGAAAGACCAGUUUGAAGGUCUUGAAAAUAGGCUUUCUAUUUAUGAUUUGUCAAAUGGUGGAGUUCAUGCUGUUUUUCUUUUCAUAUUUAUCUUUAUUUGGAAAUUCCCAAGAAUUUACAGACAGAAAAAUGUGUUUGUAGUCCAUCAAAUGAAUAAAAUGAAAUUUUUUCCUAAGAUGGUCGAUGUUGGCUAAAAGGUUUGUAUUAAAGCUACGAAUGGUGAGUGAAAGUAAGGAAAGGAGAAAAGCGUUAUUGAGUUUUAGUUCAACAUGGAAACUUAAGUGUCUCACAGAGCAAAUGACAUGAUCUUAAGCGGUUGUACUUUGGCUAAAACUAGGAAAUCAUAUUGGACUUGAGGAUGGAUGGAAGAGCAUGAAUGCUACUUCAGAUUUGUGUGACAGCUAAUAAUUCUCUUCCCCUUCAUAAUUACUUGUUUCGGAAAGCACUGUUGUUAUGGGUUUUUUUCCUUGUUGGGUUGUUCUAGGUUUUCCUCCUCAUUUCUGGUUGACCCCUAUGGGCCUACAAGAUCAAGUAGGAUUGUUAACAAGCACAGCUUGAGUUAUUAUGAAUGGCUCAGCUUGGCCUCAUGUUUAGCUUGUUCAAUUGAAGGACAUUUUUGAACAUGUGAUGUAAGUCCCAUUGCCUGGACUUGAGUUUAAUAAGUUCCCAUUUUAGAACAGAGUUGUAUAAAAAAGAUACAAACAGUAUAAUUUGUGUUCCUUCAGCAUUAGAUUAGACACACAUUAAGCUUGUCAUACUUUGUUUUAAUAAAGUCAUUAUAUAGAAAGACAAAACUUACUCUUGCAAAGAGGUAACUUCUUCUGCAUUGAAGAGAUAUAAUUCACAUUGCUUUUGGGGAAAAAAAAUAAUAAUUUUCAGUCACUAAUAUCCGAUGCCUAUUUUGCUACUUGCAAGCAGGUUCAAGAAUGCCAUGAGAAACCUACAUAAGUGAUGUUUACUAGGUUCCUUAAAAAAAUUCAUUAUGAUAGUCUUUAACAUGAAAUAAGGUGUUAGCUAGUUCUUCUAUACUCUGAUGAUAGGCAUUGAUUCAAUCGAUUAUGAAUGAAAGAUGUAACCAUGUAUGACACAUCUGAUUCUUACUGGCUUUGAUAGAUAUCUUUUAACUCUGGUGCUUACUGCUUGAUUAGCUUUGAUAGGUAAUUUGUAAGCGUUUAUGUUUUUUCAAAGGAAGGAAAACGCACGCAUUUAUCUGUCCAGAGGGUUGCCUUCCCUAUUUAGUAUUCCAAUGUUUUCUUCUCAACUUUCAUACAUUAGAUGACUUCGUCAUUUUCAAUGAAGAUCACUGGGUGUUGUUCUUUUUAUUUUUAUUUUUUAAAAUUCAUUAUUCUUUUUUAAUUUAAGUUAAAUUCAUUAGUUUUUAAGUUUUUUAAUCUUCAAUUUAUUUUUUAUAGGUCUACUGUCUCAUGUACACAUGUAGUUUAUGGUGAGAGAUUUUGGUUGAUGGUGAUAUUAUAUGCUUCCAGUUGAGAACAGUGCUCUCCCUGAAAGACUGCCUUUUCUAGUUAUUUUAAUAUUUUUUGUUCAACUGUGACCAUUUUUGUUUGACUGGAGGCCCUUUAUUUUUAACUCAUUUAAUUAAGCUCUGCUGCCAUGGGGGUUCUCAUUUUUUUCUACAGGGUUUUGAUUUCCAUCAGCUGCUUUUUUCUUGUUGCUUUUCUAAUAAACUGAUUUUCCUUGAGCUGCAUCUAGAAGUUUCAGCGAUAUUGGAACUUUCUCAAAAUGAAUAUGGAAUAGGAUAUAGUUCUGUGGCCAUCUGAACUUUUUCUGGGUUUUCACUAUUUCCUUUUCGGGAAAUCCUACACCCGGCCUGGCUGAUAGGCAGAUCCACCCAGGUCUCAUUCUUGAUUACAGGAUUUCACCGGGAUUAGUUCUGCCAGAUGUUUUGGGACCUAAUUUACACCUAUAUUCACUCCUUUGUGUGUGGCUUUAAACAUGGAAGCAUUCAGUUUUUUGGUUCAUUGUAUAUGCUCCAAUAUUGCAUACCCUUUCUUGUAGACCCUAUGAGUUUUUUCUUUGAUCAUGUUGUCUUUUGCAGCUCAUUUCCAUUCUAAUAUAUCAGCAUGUCCUGCUUUGAAUAUGAUUAUCCCUAUGAGUUUUUUCUUUGAUCAUGUUGUCUUUUGCAGCUCAUUUCCAUUCUAAUAUAUCAGCAUGUCCUGCUUUGAAUAUGAUUAUCUGGUUCAAAUUCUUGUACUCCUUAUGUGUGGGCUUCCUCUAAAUUGAUGUCCAGUUCUUGUUGCUGCUCCCACUCCAUCUUCCUGCUUGCAUACAUGUAGCAUCCAGGGGGAGCAGCAACUGCAUUUGCAUUUCUGAUGGAUGCUUUCAGACAGAUACAUGAAUUUUCCGUGGCCCUUUCUUGUUAGAUAUUUCACGUAGAUGCACAAGAUAUAUUGGUUUGCUAGGGAUCAUAUAUAAGUGAUUGUCUUGGUUACUUUGAACAGAUUUUAGGGAAGUUUUAUUUAAUGUCAGGAUGUUCCAUUCUUGCUAAUGUUGUAUCUUUUUCGAUAUAUUUCCAAAUUGAUAGUCCAAAGGAUUAUGUUGUUACUAAAUACUGGAUUGCCUUUUCAUUUGGUUUUGGAAUUGUGGGUGAGUUAUUUCCUAUGUGGAGAAGAUAUUACACAAUGAUGGGUUUCUACUUCUGAUGUUUCUAGUAUUUCUGAAAUUUGCUUUACAGCAUUUUGGUGCUUCUUUUCAUGUUCAUUACUUUUAAGUAGUCAUGGGGGUUUCUUUACUUCCUUUCUUCCAAAAAUAUCUCUGAGAAACAAAUUCUGAUCUGUUUGUUUUUCCCCCUUUUGGAUGCAGUAUUUUCUAGUUUGGGUGACAAUUUGAUGUUCAACUGAUUAUACCUCACACUUAUACUUGAGGUUUGAAAGUAAGAAAUACGAUUAUUCCCAUCUGCGGUCUCAGAUGGAUGAGGGUGGGCAUCGUGAAAAUGGAAGACACAAAGCAGACCCAUAUAAAGCAGUUCAUAGUCAGGUAUCUAAAAGUGUAAAUCUCUGCAGAUAAUGGAAUUUUUUUAUAGUCCAUUAUUUUCUUGUCGAUUUUAUUCAAAUCCAUUGAACUACCAUAAACUUGAUAAGAGAGUGCAGUGUAGACAUUUUUCCAUAUGAAUUGCCACUCAUGAUGAUGUUCUCUCAUUGUCAUUGUUUCAGUGGUUGAUGCAACAUCAGCCAACAAUGAAACAGAUAAUGGCUAUCAUGGCUGAAAGGGAUACUGCUGUUCAAGAAAGAAAUUUGGCUCUUUCUGAGAAAAAGGCAGCAGUAGCUGAGCGUGAUAUGGCUUUCCUGCAGCGAGAUACAGCAAUUGCAGAGCGGAACAAUGCCAUUAUGGAACGAGACAAUGCCAUUGCAACUCUUCAAUAUCGCGAGAACUCAUUGAAUGGUGGCAACAUGUCUCCAUGCCCACCAGGAUGCCAAAUCUCGCGUGGGGUGAAGCAUAUGCACCAUCCUCAGCCACACUUACAUCAUCCAACCCAUCUGAGUGAAGCUGCAUACAGCGCAAGGGAAAUGCAUAUUGGUGAUGCCCUCCCUGUUUCACCUGUUGCUUCUGAGGCUGCAAAAUCUCGACGGGCUAAACGACCGAAGGAGGCCAAGCCAAUGUCAUCUAAUAAGAAGGCUUCAAAACCUUUGAAGAAGCCUAAGAGAGAAGGUGAGGACUUGAACAAGAUUGUGUUUGGCAAGUCACGUGAGUGGAAGGGUGGGCAGGAUAUGAGCAGCGGAGGUGAUGACCUUAACAAACAGCUAGUUGUCUCAAAAUCUGAUUGGAAGGGUCAGGACUUAGGGCUAAACCAGGUUACAUUUGAUGAGUCAACCAUGCCAGCACCUGUUUGUUCGUGCACUGGAGUCCUAAGGCAGUGCUACAAAUGGGGGAAUGGGGGUUGGCAGUCAUCAUGUUGCACAACCACCUUGUCAAUGUAUCCCCUACCAGCAGUUCCCAACAAGCGUCAUGCUCGAGUUGGUGGGCGGAAGAUGAGUGGAAGUGCCUUCAACAAGCUGCUUAGCAGGCUUGCCGCAGAAGGUCAUGAUCUGUCAAUUCCGGUUGAUCUCAAGGACCAUUGGGCCAAGCAUGGAACAAACCGCUAUAUCACCAUCAAGUAGACUGACUGCAAAGGAUCUCGAGUCAGAUGGAAGAAAACAGCCCAUGCUGGGUCAGGUAUUCAUCCUCAAUUCUUCCUUUAGUUGCGCCAUGAAAAGGUUAGAUGGUGAGGCAGUAUAUUGGUAGUUCUUCAUAGUUCCAGCCAUUUUAGCUUUUCUUGCAAUCCUAUGGACUCUUUUUUAUAGGCUGUCUUUUCUUCUUUCCAUCUUUUUGUGUCUGUAUUCAAGUGAUGAUUGAAAAAAGAUAGAAGGGAGAUCUGCCUCUCAUUCUCUUAGUUUACAGAAUUAAAUGUAGUGAACUUGAAACGUCCUUUAUCUUGUGACUGAAGAUAAUUGUAAAGCAAGGAUUGCAUUUCAUAGAGCUUUUUCUGUCCGUUUUGUACUAAUGGAUAGAAUUUAUCAUAUAGCUGGUUAUCUAUGAUUCUCGCCAAUGUGAUGAUUAUAUUUCUGUUAAACUUGGCAGGUGGAGGUGCAUUUGAUUUUCUGGGAAAUGUAACCGGUACAAGGUUUUAUGUUAUGAAAUAAGCUCUAGUACAAUAGAUAAGACCCACUGGAGUCCAUACCCUACAUUGAAAAGUCUGAGAAGCAAGCUUAACCUAUCUCUGGUUCAUGGAAACAUGCAGAGAUCAUCACAUAAAUUGAUAAUGAUGACCAAGUCUAUGUAUGAUGAAUAAGAAUUUGCAUUUUGUGUUUUUUUGGCAAAUCUUGGUCUUCCGAUACUCGUGGGUUUUUGUGAAUGUAAAAUUAUGGCCAUAACAUCCAUACGAAAUGAAAUGAAAUUUUUAAGCUCUCAAGAGAAAGAUGAAAGGCAUAGUAAUGCCAAAAUUCCGUUGGAAAAACAAAACGGGUUCUAGGAAAAUAAUUUUACGGUUUCUUUAAUGGCUUUCUCGUGAACAGGAUUAACGAAUAUCUAAACCUUACUAGUGAUUUUAGUUCUUUUUUGACUUAUUAAUUCUUUUUUGUAGUAAUAAAAUUCACUUAUUAAUUCUUUUUCUGCCAAUUAUCAGCAAAUAAGCAGAACGGGUGCUUAUCAUAUUCAGACUACCUCUCUUCGUUACACUGGCACCUCCACUAGCAAUGUUUCAAGGGCAAUUUCUUAUUCUUUUGAAACUUAGGAGGGGAAAAUCAACAAAUUAGACUAUUAAAAUAGUCUAUCCAACAAAUCAAAAUCCGUAAAAACAAAACUUCGCAGUGUUGUGUCAGAUCACAGAUAUCAGCACCAAUGAAUCAGACAGGGAUAACUGUAAAAAUGUAUGUUCUCAUCAUCCACAAACACUGUCAAAAAAAAAAAUUCUAAAAAUAAAUAAAUAAGAAGAAUAAUGCCUCAGACCGUCCUAGUUCAUGAAUUUCAACAUGAAUGCAAAUGCUUUUGCAUUUCAGUUAAUAUUCAAACUAUCAUCAUAGGCCAUACAAAUCAAUUGAGGAAAAAAAAAAUCAGAAAUUACCAAAAAAAAAGAAAAAAAAAAGCGUCAGAUGUAAGAAACAUCAGCAGUCAAAAGAUCAGACAGGGAUAACUGUAUAUUUCUUGUUCUCAUCAUUCACAUUUCGAUUAUUCAGGAAGAAUACCGAAAAAAAAAAAUCCCAAUGAAAAGUGAACGAGAUGAAAUGAGGAAACAGAGAGGCAUCAGAUCUUCCUAUUCAAAGAAAAGAAUCAUGCUACUCAGAUCGAAAUCUGAGUAUUCAACAACUCUCGAUAUUCAUCAUUUGGCCUCGUGCAUGUGUGUGCGAGUAAUGAUUUGGAGAAGAACAAAAUCGAAACAAGAUGAAAGAAAGAGUUUGGCAUAAACAGAUAGAUGAAGAUGCAAAAACAUAUCAAAGAUGAGCGGCGAACUUGAUCUUGGUGGCGAGGAAGCGGCGAGAGCUAGGGUUUUGAAACCGAGCGCAACGCAUCGUUUUAUAGACGAGGGAUUUUGCCUUUGUGGUUUGAACCAGGAUUGUGGUUUUGACCCUACGGCUGGGAUUUUGAGAUGGGAUAGGGCUUAGCUGCACUGGAUCCGAUUAUAAGGCGGCUCGCUCAAAUGCCGGCCCAUUAAACUCAACUUCGAGCCCAUCUUGGAGUCAUUUUAAAAGGGGUUAAAAAUGCUUUCUAAGCAUGCUUAGAAGCGCUUAUUACGUUUGUGAUAAAUCACUUUUGGAAUCUCCCCUGAUUUUUAUCAAAAUUUUGUUAAUAUAUUUUGAAAAAAAAAAACAAACUCAAAAUCAUUCCUAAUAAAUCUUUUUCCUCUUCCAUCAUUAUUCUCAAGUAUCCAAAACAGAAACAUCUUUUCCCUGGCUUGUUUCCAAUAGCAUUAGGAUACACCUUGCUCCAUUCUCCAUGCUUCAAUUUCCUUCUAACGAGAAGAGAGUAUGUGAAGAGUCGGCUUUCUCUUAAUUGGGUCCAGAGUCUCUGACAAAACAAAGGGAAGAGAAGAACACCUUCCCACCACUAGGCUCUGCAGUUCCGAGAAGCUGUAGACGAUGGACUUCCAGGGUUAAUGCCUCCUUCAAAGCUGCAAAAUCACACUAAAGUUUCGUUUCUAUGGAGACUGUAUGAAGCAAGAAGAGUGACAUGAUUUGAACCACAUUUCAUGGAACCCUCUUUGGCGAAACAUCAGGAGGGGUUGGGAUUGGGAUAUUAAACUAGCGGCAAAGAAGCAUAACGAGGGAAAAAAUAAAAAUUCAUAUUUGUACCAUCCCUGAACUGUGCCUCUUGUUCCAUGGCCUGAAUUCGGAGUUUCAAUUCAUUGUUCCGACUAGUGAGCUCGGCAGAAUCUCUCUGGAUACAAUUAGAGUAUAGCCUCAAGAGAAGAAUAAAAAAAAAAAAUCAAAAUAAAUUCCAACCCCCUUUAAUCCUACCUGUAGGAGAGUAAGCAGGUGAGAUAACGUAGUUGUCUCUGUUUGUAGAGUGUGCACCUUGUGUUCCAAUUCUGCCAUGUAUCGCACCUUCCUCUCCUUGGAACGAGCAGCUGACUGACGAUUAGCCAGAAUUCUACUAGAAAUUCAUUAAGAACAUGGAAAUACACUCAAUGAUGCGUUCAUCCAUAAACCUAUGCAUAUAUGAUCUAAGAAUGGAGACAAAGGGAAACACCUUUUGGCACGCUUGGGGUCUACUAAUGCGAUCUCAGCAAGUUUCUCAUUUCCCAUUAUCUUUUUCAGCUCAGCUCCACUAAAAUCAACUUUGCUGCAAUCUAGCCUCAACUUUACCAGGUUUCCAUCCGUUGAAUUGCCCUGAGAGGGAGAAGGUGGCCGCAUUGGUAACUCUUCACCACCGCACUUGCUCCCCAUGAAAAUAACGUUGGGCAAUUUCAGCAUCGUCUCCUCCAGCGCUCAAUAUCAUGGUUCUUUUUCAUCAAUACAGUCACCUUCAUUUGUCUUCGUGCCACAUCUGCUAUCCAUGUCCCUUGUCCUCGGUGGGAGACGAGUUCAAUGUAUCGGUAUUAUCCAAAUUCAUAGAUGGCCUCGGCCUCUCCUAUUUCCUCUUAUCCUUCUCUCUCUCUACAUCCCAGUCCCAUUCCUAUGUCACCAGCUGGCUUGGCUUAUCUACCUCAUGAAUUUGUCCUGCCCAAAAUUCCCUUGCCCAUAAGGGCUGUCAAUUGAGGUGAUGGAACCCAGAUGGAAUAUCGUUGUUGGAGUCUGUGCCCUCCAGUACUGGCAAGCUUAAUUCUCGCUGACCCAACAGACAUUACCUCUGGCAGCAGACGAGGCGGGAGAACCACCAUUUUCGGUUCACUGUUUGGCUUCUUAGCUUAAAAUCGAAGUGUUUGUCAACAUACACUCCUUUUUUUUUCUUAAUGACCCAUACGCCAAAAUGUCUGAUCAGAAGCCGAACCAUUACUUCAAUCCAUCAUCCGAUGCCAUCAUUUAAAGCCACCGGCAUCAAAAGAGGAAAUUUUUUAUGGUCAUUAUUAUGAUGUUUGUAGCCCUUGCGAAGACUUUUGUUAGCAUAUUUAAUGCAAACUUUUUAGGCACCCUAUCUCUUUCCCCUAGUGCGAUUGAUCCACUUGCAACAUUAUUAAAGUACGAGUCUAGUAUUAUUUCAAACAUUUGCAUUAGUUCAUUUGUUGGACAAUGGCUUUCAAAUGAGGGAUUAACAAUGUUACUUACAUUGACCAAUCGUCAAGGGCACAAGUGAACGAGAUGGCUCAAUCUUCAUUGAAGCAUUAGGAGGUUGAUUUUAUGUCACUAGCCUUUAUCAAAAGAGUGGUUAAUCACUAGCGAGGGCCUUCUCUAUUCUUAUUUGUUGGCUUAGUCUUUAGUUAUCUUCUAGUUGGUAGAUACAAAUUUGUGGAACUUUUCUUCAACUUUUUAUCACAUUUUGAGUCAUUCAUAUGGAGUAGGAGUGAUGCUAACUUCUCAAUUUAAAUGAUAUUGGUAUCGGUGUGAGGUUUAAUAUGAUAUUGCAAAGGUGGAAAUUAUAAUUUUGAUAAAGAUUUUUUACAAUAGCAUAUAGAUUCUCGUAUGAUGUUAUAUAACUGAGUUGACAAGAGAAAAAAUAUCUUAUGGUGUCAUUUAUUAUUCUCCUUUGUAAAAUAAGAUUCUUUUCUUGGUUAAGUUGUAAUGUCGAAACAAAUACUUUCAUCCAAUCAAUUAGUAAUCUAUAGUAUGACUAUCCCUUAAACCAUACAAAACAAAGAAGAUAGAAAGCUAAUUAAGGAAAAAGAGGUUGAGAGAUAAAAAUAUUGGAUGACUUCUACCCAGUACUUGAACAAAUGAUUGUGAAUAUCCUAAAGUUUCUCCUAGUCCCUAGCAUCAAACUCUCAAUCACUAUAACUUUGACAUACACAUUUUUUCAACCUUUAUUAUAAUCAAGAAGAUUGAGGACGAGGGAGUAUGACCUUUUUUACAAAAAAAAUAAAAAUUAAGUACCUUAUCUUUGUUGGGAUGUAAAGAAACGUUAUGUCAACAAUGUUGAUAUCUAAGUGAUCGAUAAUUCAUAACCAAACAAUUGAUGAGAAGUUUGAUGUUGUUUUGGUGCAAUUGGUAAUGGUAUGAUUGGAAAAAAAAAUGCAAAAAUUAAUGGAUCCAUGGAUGGAAGGAUAGUUGGAAGUUGGUUUGAAAAUGAGAGCAAUGAAAGGUGAUCUUAUUUUAGUUGUCUCUAAUGAAGUUGAGUUUGUCUAGUAUCAAUGUCAAACCCUAACCCUUCUAUCAACUUAGGAGAUAAAUCUAAACAUUUGGUUAUACUUUGAAGGUUUUUGGGCAUUGUCAUGAAUACAUAAAUGAAAGGGUUUAGAACAAAUUGGUAUGGUGAAGAGUUUUUAGAUUUACUUAUGGUUCAAAGAACAAAAGCAAGAAAAAUAUGCCUUUAAUUAAUGAGAAAGAUAGACCCAUGAAAAGUUUUUUUUUCUCUUAAACAUACUUUUGAAUCUCCAUCAUCAUGAUGACAUUGACAUGAUCAACAAUGGGUCAUCAUGGUUAGGUAGCAUGUCAAAUUGAGUUUGGAAAUGUCUUGAAAAUGCACCAUUGAACAAUUUGACAUUUAAUGAUGAAACGAGUCAAACAAUACAAACCACUAAGAAAUCAAACUGUUUAGGUGUUUCUAAUCCAAUAGAGCAAGUUGAUAGGUUAACUAUUUAACAAAAUCCACUUUAUUGAAGAUAAAAAAGUGGAUAAAUGUAAGAACACGAUUCUAUUGCUCUCCAAUGAUUAUUAAAAAAAAAUCAAAAGAAAAUAUAAUUACACGUCAUGCCAUUCCCAUCAUUCACUUUUAUGCUCUCAUAAUAUUUAUAUUAAUUUUAUAAAAAUAGUUUAUUAGCAUUUUUAUAUAAAAUCAUCACAAAAAUUAUUUUCCUUCCCAUCGAUUUCUUUUAGAAUUCACCUCCAAUAUUUUUAAUAUUUCCAUAGAAAUUCAAUUACUUAAAUUUCAUAAAUUUACAAAAUUUCCAAACUCAAAAUUCAAUCAACACUCAUGCACCAAACGUGAAAGAAUAAUUGGGAUUCGGACUGGCAACGAACCAACCCAUCCUUGUAAACUGAACCAUGUCCCAUCAAUGGCUUAUUCCGGUACCUUUACCAGCAGUGCACAAAGGCCAAAACCGUAGCCUGCAGGCUCCAGCCCUGCGCCCCGCUGCAUCACAUACAUGGCGUGCACAGCAGCCUUCUGUUUUAUCGGGCAAACGAGAAAUCCGCGUGCAUUUAACAUUUGAUCGCCGAUUUCAUUCCAACGCGGCUUCCCAAUACUGUAACUGCACACGCCUUUCCACCAAUCACUAGUUCGAAACCAAAUUAAUAUGAUUAAAUUUAAAAAUAGUAAAAUUUAUUUUAAUAAAUGUGGGUUUGUCAUAAGAUUAAAAGGGAGGGUGGAGAUUGGCCCGACACCAUCCAAGUGGAUGGAGAAUCUGAUGGGAGUGGGCCCUGGUACUUCGUUAGUGUUUGAAUGUUAGAAGACAUGAUCUUCUGGUCUUAGUGGGCCAUACGCCAAGGACACUCUCCCCCAUACUUGUUCUAUGGACAAGGAAUUUUAUCAACAAAUAAAGGGGUGUGAACCAUAAGGGACCAGACACCGCAAAUUGCAGUUGUAAUGACCAAAAAGCCUAUUCUCGUCAGUAACAUCGAUCACAAAACGGUGGUAGUUUUGGUAUUUUGUGAAAAAAGCUCGUCCACGUGUCGAACACAUUGACUUAUCCAAGGAAAGUACCUCCGCCCUGAAAAAAUUUCAAUAAGGGAACAAGACUCGCGGGAAGCAUAAACCCUAGGAAAAUCUCAAGACAACGACUGGAAAAGAAAAAAAAGGAGAAAAUAAAAAUAAAACGGAAAACAAAAGGAUGUUCAACAAAAUCCAUCGACAUUUUCUCUCUCCACAAUUUAUUUCCGUAUUAAUAAAAGUCCUAUUCUAGGAAAACCCAAACAAUCCCUUUUUUACCCUUUUCUAUGCUCCAUUUGAAUUAGGGUUUCGUUUGUUUUUCUCAUCCUGAUCCAGGUCGAAACCCUAAUCGCCCGAUCCGUCUAACUAGCCGUUAGCCUUCCGUUUCCCGCUGUUGAUCUACCGGCUUCGAUUUGUAACCGUUGGAUCCGUCAUUUGGACCAGCGUUCCGCAUUCUUUUUGACAUAGUUUUUAUUAUUUUUUUUUAAAUUAUUUAUUCGACCGUUACUUUGCCGGAGUUGGCCGGAAAUGGCUGCAGCGGUGGAAUCGGAGAAUAAGGUUGAAGAAAAGAAGUCGGAGAAGGGGGGAGAGCUGUUGUUAUGUGGGUCAACGUGUUGGGAUGCAAUCGGGCGGCGCAAAGGCACUUUGGAGGGCAAUUUGGUGUCUCCCACUCGCCUGCGACCGCUCGUUGGCGUCGACAUCAGGUUUGUCGCCGCUGGUUGUGGUGAGCUUCACUUCCUGUCGAUUGAAUAUACGCAUAUUUAAAUAUUUUGGGUGUUUUGCGGAUUGAAAAUGGUCAUGCUAAGAAGUUCAUUAAAAUGUAAUUUGUGGAGUUAUGUUUUCGUGUCUGAUAGUUAAAAUUAUUGUUUUGGUGGUGUUCAAUUGAACUCAGUUUAGAUUUGAUGUUUUUGGUGGAUUGCUAAUAUUUAGGUUUUUCUAGAUAGAGACCUACUGGGUUCUGAUUGUUACUGUUUUUGUUUGAAUGCCAAUGUAGCUUCCUGUCAUUGUGUGGCAUUGGAUGUUGAAGGUCGGUGCUAUACCUGGGGCCGCAAUGAGGUAUGUGAAAUUGAAUAGAGUUGAUAUAAAUGGUUUACCUUUUUGUCUAUCAUUGUUUGCUAAUGAAGAAUGGGCGUGCAGAGGGGGCAGCUAGGUCAUGGUGACAAGCUUCAGCGCGAUAGGCCGACUUUUGUAUCUGAACUCUCAAAGUGGGUUAUCCAUUUUUUAAUCACUUUGCAAGUCUAGUUUCCUUCCAAAAUAUUUAGAGGAAUUGGUAUCUAGAUCAUUUAUUGAAUUGGUCAUGGGUGAAUUUUUUUUUUAAUAUAUAUUUAAUGGGUUAUGCUCUUGUUUAUAAUGUACUCAAUGCCAACUUAAUCUUGAAAUAUAUGGACAUACUGAUACUAAGUUAUAUCUGUUCUCGAGAUAUUGAGUUGCAUCAUUGUCUUGGAAAGCAGGCCUCUACAAGCUUGAAUUUCAUUGAAACCUGUGACUCUAAUAAACCUUUUUUUAAGCUGAGCCACACUAGGUAUCUUCCUCGUUUUGGGGUUUGUUGAGAUGGGAAGAGAUUCUUGAUGAUUGACUAAUCCAGCUAAGGGCUCAACUUGUCUUAAACCCUCCUGGUGGAAUCCUUGCACCUUGUUCCUUGUCCUUAAAACUCUAGUCAAAGGAUGGAACAACACUAUCUGCUAGGGUUGUCAAAUCUUCAUAUGUAGGAAGUGGGUAUAGAAGUGUGUAAAUACAAAACAAGGUUUGAAAUUUCAAACAAGAUGACACAGGAGAAAUUGGAGUUUUUGUUAAAAAAAUCGUUGUAGCGUCCUUGCUCCUAUGAUUUAUUGUUAGAACUUUAGUUGAGGAUGGAAUGACCCCAGUUAAUUUUAAUCAUCAAAUGACCCCAGUUAGUUUUAGUCAGCAACCGACUUCAGUUAGUUUUAGUCAUUAAACGACACCAGUUAGGUUUCGUCAACAAACUUCACAUGCAGUACUUGCGUGUUAAAACUUUGAUUUGUCGACAUUAAGAAUACCCCUAUUAGCAUGGAGUUGUCAGGAAUUUGAAGAGGAUAAGGGGUAUUUGUUGAUUCUGCCAGGGCUUUGCUCAUGGAUUACAGUUUCUGUGGGACUUUUAUGUGUAUUUAAAUCCCCUUCUUUGUGGGAUUUUUAAUAUAUAACCAAAAAACAAUGGAACGCUUUCUCUCUAAAAAAGGAAUUGCAUAAUUAAGUGAAGGAAAUAUUGUAUGGCAAAGAGCGAACUUUGGGCUUGGCAAAUUCUUCGAAUGGUUGUGAUUUGUGACGAGACAGAAGCAAGUGGGUGAAGAUAUUGAGGAUUGGAUCAUAGAAAGCAAACAGUAAUGCAAGAUGGGUUACAGUGCAGGUUUGAGUUUUGAGUAUGAGAAAAAAGAUGUGAGGAAAAGGAAAUGUAAAUAGACACUAGUCUAUUUUACCUAUCAAAAGGAAAAAAGAAAGGAAAAAUAAAUAGACACCAGCCUACCUCAAUUUGCUGGAGAUGAUGGGUAAUGUGAAUAAUUUGUGUAAUCCUCUCAAAGAGAUUUCAAGCUCUGUUGCUAUAGUAGCUAUCAGGUGCAGGAGUUCUAUAAUUAAAGCUCCCGUAAUGUGUGCUUGUGGGUGUUUUUUUUUUUUUUUUUUUUUCUUUUGUGUAUGUGGAAUAAAUUAAGUGAUUAGGGACAAGUAAGCAUCUUAUUUUGAAUGUUCUUUUUAUAAAAUUGAACUAAAAAUAAUAGCAAUAUUUAUUAGGGGGUUGCUUCUUAUGUUCUAAUAAGUUUACUAGAAUGUAUUUUUCUGUAUAUUUUCAUAACUAGCUUAUACGUUAUCCUAAUUGUGCAAUGUUGAUUUGUUAUAUAGCUAAAGCAAAUAAGCUUCAAAACAUGAAGGGAGUCAAUGUUUUAAAUUGUUAUUGCCAUAGAAAGUAGCAUUUGUAACAUGAUCAGCAGAAUUACUUUUAGAUUCAUGUUAUUAGGCUACUUGUUUCUGUUUCUUAUCUCUGUUACCUCCAUACACAUUUCUCCUGUCUCCUUGGUCCAACUUCAAAAUCAAGCCAACCCAAAGGAGUCAAGAUGAACAAACUACAAUUGGAGCUAUUCCAAUUCAUGGAUCCACUUUGCUCUUUACCAUUUGGUGAGGAAGGGAGUGGGUGUGGGUUUAAUAUGAUUCUUGAAAAUUUUCUUUUGUUAGUUUUACUCUAUUGGAUGAUGCUGUGCAGCUUUAAACUUCUUUUUUUCUUUCAUUGGAAACUUAGAAUUUACCUCAUAAAAGAUGAUUCCAACAGUUCAAGAAGGCUGGGUUAUGUUUUAGAAAGGAGAAUAACAACAAAACAUACAUAAGAAGAUGUAAAUGCAUUUGAAAUGGCUCAUUUGGCUCCCCUUUGUUUGUUUUGGUGCAUAUGGAGAGAAUGAUUGAAUUUUUAAUGGCAAAGAGCAUUCAAUUGAAAAGCUAAAGGAGAUAUUCAUUAAAGCCCAUUGGGGAAUUGCUGGUGUUUAGUGAAGAAAUUUUUUUCUUUUUUUAACAGUAUACUAGUUGGUGUUACUUCUCAUCCAUUUUUAAUGUAGGAAUUAAAAUUUCUCUUCAACCUUUUGUGUCCUAAGCUUGUGAAUUUUAAUGUUUUUUUUUCCUUUUUGCUAAGCUUUAGUGACAUUGUUGUUGUAGGUAUAAAAUCAUUAGGGCUGGAUCUGGAAGGAGCCAUUCGGUGGUAGUUUCUGAAGAUGGACAAUCUCUUGCCUUUGGCUGGAACAAACAUGGGCAGCUGGGUUCAGGUUCAGUAAAAAAUGGUAGGUUUAAUUUUUUAAGUUCAUAUUUGUUAUCUAACUCUAUAUAUGGUUGUUAAUGGUGCCUGCAUGUGUUUGUAGAUCUCAAUAAAAUGGGUAAUUCUAUUAUAUUCUUAAACUUGUAUGCAUAUUAUUUAAUUUUGAUGUACAUUGUUAAUGGUACUUGAAUGCAUUCAAGGAAUAAUGUCUUUGCCCUAUCUUUUGCAGAAGUUGAGCUAUCACCUGUUCGCUGUCUUGUCUCUGAAGUAAAAACCGUUGCUUGUGGAGCUGAAUUUACUGUGUGGUUAUCUUCUGCUGAAGGAGCUUCUAUACUGUAUGGUUUGUGAAAUUUGCUUUAUUUCUGUUUGCUCAAUUCUAUGCCUUAUGUGGCUUAAAGAUAUCAAUUUAAGUUAGCUUACCCACCGAGUUGUAUUCUGUUUCUGUAUUUCUAGAACUGCAGGUCUUCCACAGUAUGGUCAACUUGGACAUGGGACAGACAAUGAGGUAAUUGAAGAUAUAUUAUUUUCUUUGUCUUGUAUUAUUUCCAUUGAAUUUGACCAUGAUAGGUUGACACUGCUUCACUCGACAUGGUUAUGGAUGCUGGACAUGGUAGUUUAGCAAAAUUUAGUCCUGAUGACAUGGCUCUAUAUUUAUGGUUUUUAUGUUUCAUGAAAUUUAUAUUAGCAGGGAAAAUGUUCAGGUAAAUGGUAGAGAUGCUAUGGCAUGUUAUUUCUGAAGCUUAUCAAUAAUUUCGUCUGAUUAUCACAAGUUUGAGCUGUUUCAUUGGUGAUCAAUGAGUCAUGAAGUAGGUUUAUCAUUGGGUGGGUGGAUAAUUGUAGUUUUGUCAAUAAACGAAAUGACCAUGACAGAAAGAACUGUGUCAUCAAAUUAAAUUUUUACUUGAUGAAUAAAUUGAUUCUUUAGUAAUGUCAUGAUUAAAUACAUUAGUCACAUGUUUUCUCUUACUUGAGAAGCAAAUAGAGGCGACAUGUUUAUAUGCAUCCAAAUGGUGCCACAACUUGGUGGACAUUUUUUCCAUUCUAGCAAGAGGUUGACUGUUCAGGAGGCUAUUCAUUUAUAGGAAGAAGUCUCUCAUUUAGAUCAUUGGUUUACAGAAGCAUCACAUUUUAGAAUGCAAUAUACAUGUAAGGAGAGUUUUAGCGAUUGCAUUGUACAUGUAAGGUGAGCAUUUUGAAUCCUGACAUAUAUUUGACACUCUUGCAGUACAAUAGUAAAGAUAGCUCAGUGAGGCUUGCUUACGAACCGCAACCACGCCCCAAAGCAAUAGCUUCUCUUUCUGGGGAAACCAUUGUGAAAGUUGCAUGUGGAACAAACCAUACAGGUAGUUAUGACCCUUUCUGUCUCUGUGCUCUUUCUUUCUCCCUCUCUCCUACUUGCUGUAUGUGGUUGUUUAUUUUGCUUUGCCUUCAUUUGUUUUGAACAUCCAGUGGCGGUGGAUUCAAGUGGCCAUGUUUACACGUAAGUAUCCUGCAGUUAAUUGAGUUUCAUGUAGCUUUUUGUCUUUUUACUUUCAUGUUUUUUAUUAUGGAUUUAUUUAUCUAUUUACAGUUCAUAAAUUUUUUUGCUGGUUUAGGUGGGGAUUUGGUGGCUAUGGAAGGUUUGCACUGGCUUUUCUCAUUCUGUUUUCUGUAGCAUGCUACUGUUGACUUACAAAUUCCUGAUAUCGAAUGAAUUCUUGAGACUUGAGUUUUCUUACAUAAUUCCUAAUUGCCUUUAUUCUUGUCCUUGGUGACCAAUUUAUCAUGCAUGUGAAUUCUUGAGUGAUUGUAUAUAGGCUUGGACAUAGAGAGCAGAAGGAUGAGUGGGUUCCUCGUCGUGUUGAGGUCUUUCAAAGGCAGAAUGUUCUACCUCCUGAAGCAGUGAUUUCAGCUGGUUCUGUUAAUUCCUCAUGUACUGCUGGUACGUAAUGAUGUUCACUUAUGUGUUUCACUAAAUAGAUGUGCUUUUAAGGCUAUGGAAUUUGUGAUGUUGAUAACCAUACCCAUCAAAAAAAAAAAAAGAAAAAAAAGAAAAAAGAAAAGAGAAAUUGUGAUGUCGAUAACCACCCCUUACCUAGAUCUGAAAAGGUUUUGAGAUGUACAAAUUAUAAUAGUUUUCUGUAAAUAAGAAUACUUGAGCUUGGAUGACUGUUGUUGCUCCUAUGCAUUUUACUGCGAUUUUGUGAAAUGCAUAAAAUUUCCAGUUCAGAGGUUCUGGUUGUGGAUAUUGAUUAAUUGUUUAAUAAACUACAAUUGGUGCACUUUCUUCUUACAUGCUUCAAGAAAUGCUGAACCACAUAAAUGAUAGGGAAUAACUUGUUGUUUGAAUGGCCUUUGGUAUUCUUAACUACUCAGCUAAGAAUCUGACAGACUCAAAUUUAGAGCUAUUUGCCUUACCAAUUACUAUACAAGAACUAGAAUAGGGAAUUGAUGUCUGUAAUAGAAAUCACUGUACUGAAAUGGACUGGACCCCAUAUAGUUAAAGGUAAAAUGUAUAAUUUUCCCAAAAUUUCUAGUCAAGGAAAGGUUUCCAUUAAGGUAAAAUGGGAAGAAGUAAAAAAGAAAAGUGAAAAGAAACCAAACUAGAGGAAUUCAUGUUUGCCUGUUUAUCAAACAAAAGAUAAAGAAACAUAUAAUAUAUUUUCCUCUAUAAUUCAAUAAAAAGAAGGCCAAUAAAAGUAAAAUAUUACUUGGACUUGUUUGUUGUUACUUAAUUCGAAACCUAAAAAUAAAAUAUUUUUGUUAUUGAACUGAGACAUCAUGUAUCAGUGCUGCAGUGCACAAUCCUUAAAGAGGCUCCAUAGCACAAACAUGGCUUCCAUCUGUAUUGAACUGUCAGCUUCUUAUUUCAAUGAAGUCUGCAAUUGGCUGCUCUUCUGUUUCUCAAAGAGCCUAUCAUGCUUUUACAUUUUGGUAUUGGGGUUAAAUGUUAUUUCUUCCCUUUACAGGUGGAGGGCAGUUGUACAUGUGGGGCAAAAUAAAGAUUACAGGUGAUGACUGGAUGUAUCCUAAGCCUCUUAUGGAUUUAAGGUUGUGCUCUCUGUCAGUCCUUUUCUUUAUCUUAAUGAUGUUUAUGAACCUUUAGCAUCUAUUUUAGAGUUUGCUCUUGGUGCUGAUAUUUCAGAGUUGACUGUCUUUAUUGUUUCUUUAUAUAUGCAAUGUCAAAUUUAUGUACUAUGUUUUCAGCAACUGAAUUAUGUCCUCUUGCAUUGUGUGCCUUGUUGGACUAGACAUCAGAAUCCAUGCAUUCUACCUUGUUUGCUUCACGAGUCCUGUUUUCCACAGUUCUCCUUUAGAUUGUUUUUUGCUGUUACCUUUGUGUGUGUGGUUUUUUGCUGUUAUCUUUAUGUGUGGUUUUUUUUGGCUGGUCCUGCAUUUGGAAUUUUUUUUUUUCAUUAGUCACAUCAGUUUGUAGUUUGAUUAAGCCAUGGUUUUAUGAAAUUCUAAAACCAAUGCAUAAGUUAAACUCAUAUGAGGUCUUUGUUAUGGAAACUUGGCUAUCAGUGACAGGAACUCGAGGUUUUCCAUUGUCUUGAAAGGCUUAAAAUUGGUCAGGUGACAGGACUUCUCGCUGGAAUGGGGGAAAAGAUACUAGUUUUGGCUCAAAUCCCUUAGAACCUUAGGGUCAUUUUGAAUUUGCUCAAGUUCCUCUCUUCCCCUUCCUGAACCCUGAGCAGCUCUUGUACCAAGCAAUGCGACUCUUUACACCACUUUGACUAUCUCUUUUACCACCUUGAGGAUGUGGCUGGUGAUGGUUGGAGGGAGAAAAUGAAAAAAGGGAGGAAAUUUAAAUAUGUUUUUCAUCCAAUUACCAACUUCCACCUAGCAUGGUGGUAAAAAGUGGAGCCAAAAGAAUCAUUUUCCUUCUAACAUGGUUAAUUGUGAUGCUGUUGAGCUGGCUGACAUCUGCUUUUCCUUUUCUGUAGUCCUAUGAUCACAACAUUGUAAAUUAUCAUCACAGCAUACCAUGGGGCUCUUGUGCUCAAUUUCUUCAAUGUAUCUGGAAUUUCUUAUAAAGAUUAAAGUUCAUAUCCUCCUGCACUAUUUCUUAAUUUCAAAAAACUUGAAGAUGUUAAUCAUGCAUAUUGUUGGCCCAUAGCAUGGGUUGGGCAGCUUGGGCUCAUGGAAAGUGUAGGAUUUUCUUUAGCUAGUUGAGAGAAUUGAACUUCACCAUUCUGGAUUUUGAUCAACAUUAUAUUUCAGUUAACUUGACAACAUUUUUAUCUUUGUUCUUUCAGUGGUUGGCAUCUAAAUUGCAUGGAUUCAGGCAAUAUGCACCAUUUUGUUGGUGCUGAUUCCUCCUGCAUCAGUUGGGGCCAUGCCCAGUAUGGAGAAUUGGGAUAUGGCCCUAAUGGCCAGAAGUUUGUUUCCCUCUCUUCCACUUCCAGACUCUGUUUUUUCACACUUUUAACAUUAAUUUAUCUUUCUUUUGAAGUUUCUGACCUUUUCUUCACAUGUUAAUGCUAUGUUUUUCACACUUUUAUGUUUAAUUCUGUUCAAUAGGUCUUCUGCAGUUCCAAAAAAGGUAGAUAUCCUUGAGGGCAUGCAUGUUAUCACGUGAGUAUUUGGCUUUUUUGUUUUUGUUUUGUUGCUUUUGUUUGUUUUUGUUUUUUGCAUUUUGACACUUUCUAUGUUAAAUGUGUUUUUUUUUUGCCCCUCUAUUUCCCGCCCAGUGUUGCGUGUGGGUUUGGGAAUUCGAUGGUGGUUGUUGAUAGGACUAAUGUUGGUGAUCGACUUGAUCAGGUAAUUCUUUUAAACCUGCAUGUGCAACUUUCAUUUGUUAGAAUUGAGUGCUUUUCCCGUAGUUUACAGUCUGGUUCUGGUUUCAAAUGUGUUGCUUUUAGGGGGUUGGGUUGGCAUGAGGUUUGACUUAAAAUUGCAAUAAAAAUGCAGUUGGUGAUUUGGGAGUUCCUUGGGGAAACACCAUACUUAUAGAACCACAUGUUGGAAUGCCAGAAGAAUGAUUAAAAGGGAUUUGUAAAUGAAACUAAGGCUUGAGGGUCCAAUUAUUUACAAGAAUGAAGGUACUAGGUUGGCCUAUAAGUUUCUUUAUGCAUCUGAUUUUGGAUGUAUAAUAUUUUUUUUUUAAAAAAAGGCUUUAGUGAUGUGUAGAUGAACUAAGAUUUCAUUGUGAAAUGAAUCUACAUAGCUGGCCUAUAAUAUGGACCCAAGAAAGAAAAGGGAAAGAGGAUUUGGGGGUUGGGGAGGGGGGGAGGAUUUGGUUGGUUGGUGGUGCAGCAUGGGGUGGUCCACGUAAGGAGAAAUAGAGUAAAAGAGAUGCGUACUUGGUUCAUAGUGUUUGGCACAACCUGCCCAUGUCCACUCUCCUCUAGCUUCAAUCCUAAGCUUGAGGUUACUCUAUUAUCAAUCAGGCUUUAAACCAAAGUCUUCAAGAUUUUACACUUGGAUGUGCAAGCUUCAAUUGACCUUUAUAAUUUGCCACAACUAAUACUUUUCACUUGACUAGCACACAAGUGCCAUCUCACUUGAAAUAAACCCCCGUGUGAUACCUUACACUAGAAGUAUUUCUCACAAAGUUUACAAGAGAAGAAUAAUAUAACAAAUUUUAGUUUUCAAAUUUGGCUCAAAGAUUACAAAGAAACUAGGAUUAAAAGGUGUACUAAGUAUAGAUUUGCAAGUGUAAUGAAUGUGGACUCAAACACUCUUCAAAGCUCAAUAACUAAUGUAACAAUAAUUGCUCAAGGUUCCUCUCGUUCAUAGAUGCACUUGGAGAGCUUUAAAUAGGAGUUUUUGAAGAAAUGAGCUGUUAGACACAUUUUGUACUUUGUUGGAUUGACCACUUAACUAGCCAUUAGUAGAUACAAAAGACAACAGAUGACCAUUGGGAAGCUGACAACCAUGACCGGUUGAGGUUGUUCCACGCCGGUUGUCGUGCACUUCUUGAUUUUUUUUGAAAAUCUUCACUUUUUAGUUCAAAAACAGUUGGGGAAAACUGGCUAAACAAACUCUUUAUAAUUUUGAAAACCUUUUGGGUAUGAAUUACCUAAUUUUAAUGAGGUUGUCAUUUGAAAAGAUUGAAAGCAAUUUAAUUUUUAACUUGGAUAAUUUUUGCUGUCUUGGAAUGAACACUUGCAUUCCUAACUUAGUGCACCUCAAUUUUACAUGAAAUUGACCUAAAGUUGAAUCUUUGAUCUUCCUUAGCUUUAUAUUAUUGAGUUGCAUAACUUCUUCUUGAUUCAUCCAAGGUGAUCUUCGUUUCCUAUCAUAGUUGAAAUUAAACGUUAAAAUCAAGCUUUGUUUUGUUAUCAUCAAAACAUAGGUUUAGCCAAACCUUGGGUUAAAAUUCAUGAGUGACUUGUUUCACUUUAGAUAUAUACCAGAUUCCAUUAUGUGUAGACCAAUAAUCAUGUUUUUUAGAAUAUGCGAUUUAGGAUGCCCGUUUUGGUAAACUUAAUCUUUUUGCAGUUAUAACCAUCAUAAAUGCAAUUCCUGCCAGAUCUGUUUUCUAUUUUCAUGUGUAUAUUGAAAAGAAGCAGUCUCUGUAUUGAUUUAAACUAAAUUAAUAAUUGUGUUUUGUUUGUUUAAGUGGCUGCUUCAUGUGCAUUUCUGUUAAUAAUAGAUAGACAACAGUUUCUAAUUCUUCUUUGUUUCUGACAGCUUGAUAUUUAUGACGGGAAAGCUGCUGGUGAAGGUAUGCUGAUGUCUAUAGUAACUAUUUGAGCUUUUUGUAGAAUUAUUGGUCAUUGAAUGUUAAGUUUCGUUAUCAGAAAUAUUUUUAGUGUUCAUGUAUUGGUUGCCUAUUUGACAUGUGCUCAUUUAGGUAGUCUAAUUGAUGGAAAACCAAAAUCUUUUUUUUGGAUGGUUGAUAAUCCAGAUUUCAGGUUGACUGGGGAUCGUUAAGAUUCAGUCAAGACUUUAGUUGACAAGUUUCUGCCUGUGGGACAAAUACAUUCCUGAAAAAUGAUCCAAUCUCUGCUUUUCAAAAUUUGAAUGAUUAGAUUUUAGGUUUCUUUUACACUGAUUCUGCAAUACCCCCACUGCAGGGAGCGAGGAACCUGAAAGCCUGAAUGCAGUUCCUAAGAAAACUACAAAGAAAGGUGCUGCUGCUGCUAAAGCUUCUGAGAACUCCAAGAAGAGGAAGAAGUCAAAAGAAUCAUCAGACUCUGAAAGCGAGGAGGAUUAUGAGGAUAAUGACAGUGAUGAUAGUGAAGUAGAGGUCAAUGGGGAGGCAGAGAAGAAAAGGCAACGGGGUGGAAAGGCUUCUGGCAGAGGCCGGGGCAAAGGUGCUAAGAAACCUGCAACAGGGAAAAAAGACUCUGGGCGCGGGCGAGGCCGCCCUCUUGCUGUUGAGAAAACCUUGCAGCAUUCUCAGGGGAAAGGGAAAAGAGGAAGGCCGAGGAAGUGAUGAGUUAACAUUUCUCAAUUCGGAUUGAAAACCUCGCAGCAUUCUCAGGGGAAAGGGAAAAGAGGAAGGCCGAGGAAGUGAUGAGUUAAACAUUUCACAAUUCGGAUUGGAAAUUUUGUUAUCAAUCCAGCGAAGUGUACUUAGUUUUGCCCAUUGAAUUAUUUUUAUUUACAGUUCCUUCAAACUGUUGUGAUUCUCAAUGGAAACAAUCCUCCCUAACCAACACUCGAUUCUUGAGGGCUGGGAGAAGGCAUCAAACAUCCUGAAUGGUGAUUUUAUACCUGAUUUCUUUUUGUUUAAAUUGAAAGGGCAGUCUACUCAUUCUGUUUCAUUUAUAAGAGGCCGAGUUGGGAAACCUUGCUAUCGUCAUGAAUCCAAAAGUUGGAGUUCCCACAUUUUAGAAUUGAACUAUUGUAGGUAUAUAAUUUUUUUCAGGGACACGGUUGAAAAUGCAAAUCCCAGUAACCAGCUAAGCCCAGAAGCUCGAACAGACGGGAUCAUGGUAGUCGAGCCACAUGCAAAUAGAAAAUUUCUAUUUUGGUUCACGUGUUCCUCUUCUGAACUGCAAACUACCCUAGGCGAUUUGCUUCUCUGGGUUUCAUCUUUGCUGUUACCUUUCUUUUUAUUACAAUAUUUUGGACUUUCUAUUAAAAGGGUAUGCCCCUUUUGCCCUUUAAAGGGAAUGCAAUUCCAUUACAGGAUCACCGUCUUGUAUGGGAGCUGAAACUCCGAGCAAAUUAAAACUAGCAGUUUGGUUUGGUCAUGGAGCAAUGUAUCCUCUCCACAAGAAGCAAGCAACACAGGAAAUUGCUUAUGAGCAACAGAAAGUAAUAGGAUAUAUGGUUGUAAUUGUAUUAUACCGAAAUGACAUGCUAAAAUCACACUCCAAACAAGAGGAAGUUAAGGUUCUUGGUUUAUUUUACAUCAAGCUGUAGGGCAUCUAUGAGGCUAAGUUAUACUGCCUAGCCUGAAGGCAGAGAGCAUUCCUCUUGUCCAAUGUAAGACCAGGUUUCAUGUCCAUGUCUAUGUUUUCCUUGUUCAUACCAGCAGGCAUUUCUCAGUCAAAUGAGUAAAGAAGAUUAGCUAGUGCAAGCUCCACUGUCACAACUCCAAGAUGAAUCCCCGGACAACCUCGCCGGCCAACGCUGAAAGAUAUCAGUUCAUAAUCCUGUCCUUUGAAGUCAACAGAGCUACUCAAGAAUCUUUCAGGCAAGAUCUCUUCUGGGUUUUCCCAGGCUUCAGGAUCUCUUCCAAUGGCCCAUGCAUUCACAAAUACCAGGGUCUUGGGUGGUAUGUCAUAAGCGUCUAUGGUGCAGUUUUCUAGUGUCUCCUUUGUGAGUAGCAAUGGAGCUGGAGGGUGCACUCUCAGCGUCUCCUUCACCAACGCCUUGAGAUAAGGCAGUUUAUGAAGAUCAUCUUCAUCUACAAAACCUUUCCUUCCAAACACAGUUCUCAGUUCUUCUUGGGCUUUCUUCUUCCCUCCAGGAUUUUUCGUCACUUCUGCCAUAGCCCAGACCAAGGUGGCUGCACCUGGAUCUGUUCCCGCCACAAAUACGUCCUGCAAAAAAACAAAGAAAAAAAAAAAGAAGGCAAAUUGAGAAGAAGGAUAGCCCAUAAUAACCAUAAACCAUAAGAGAUCAUAAGUUUUUUUCCCAGAUUAAUAAACCAGUGAUAUUCAAGUUAGCCAGUUAGAUUGAGAAACAAACGACCAUGAGCACUGCCUUGAUGUGAUCCCAAGUGAGAUCCACUGAAAAUAACCUCUCCCUCUGUAAUCUAAGCAAAACGACAGCGAUGUCCUCUUGCUCUUGUUUUGGUCUCUUGGGAUCAAGGUGCUCGUCGAUGACUUCCUGGUAGAACAAAUCCAAUUCCUUGAAAUUCUUCUCCGGCCUGAGCAAUCAGAUCAGUGAGUUUAUCAACCCACCCCAUAGACGGAAAAUGGUCCGUGAAAAAGAAGCUGCCCAUCAUUGCCUGAGCGUCAUUUAGUAGCCCAUGAAACCUACUUCUGUCAUACCCUUUAUCCUCGUACCUCUUACCAAAAGCGGUCCUACAGAUUAUAUUGCUGGUGAGCAACAUCACUGUCUCACUCAAGUCGGUGAGUUUGGCCGCAGAAGCAGACUUGGAAAUUUUUUCAAUAAUUCGGGAAACCUCAUCUUCCCGAAUGGAACGAAAGGAUUGUACCCUUUUGGAGCUGAAAGGAUGGAGGACACAAAUCUUUCUCAUCUCCCUCCAGUACCCAUCAUACGGUGCAAAAAUCCAAAUCCAAGCCAUUGUAGGAUAGCCUUUUGUCACGGACUUAGUCGUUCACUAAGCUCGUGCGGCACUUGACAAGCCAAGACGCUUGAUCUUGCUAAGUCAGCCUUGCUCCCUAAUGUUUAGCUUGCUAGGUUAAGACACUCGCGAUUCAAAAGCUUAAGAAGCUUGGUAGGCAACUCCUUAAAGAAUGGAAGCUCUUAUUAACUCAAGAAAGCCUUUACAAGUGCUUGGAUGCUCACUUACUUGGUUAGGAAGUGAUUUGGGUGGUGCCUUGACCAAAUGAGGGCCUUACCUAUUUAUAGGCACCAAUGGAACUCUCUGGAACCUUGGAGGGUUCCUUACAAAUCAAGAAUAUUCUAGAACUCCCUAUACUAAUCUAAGUACAACUCUAUGUACAAGAAUAUACAAGAGACCUCUAAAAUUCUCUAGAAAGCCUUGGACUCCUCUCAUGCCUUCCACCAUAGUGUAGAGAUGUGUGGACAUCUUUAGGCAUCUUUAGAACCUUUCACACUUUUCCCACCAAUGACUUAGUAUAGAUGGCUCUAGGAGUUUCCAGAAGCUUGCCUCCUUUUAUAUAAGCCCAUGGGAAGGGUUAUUUGAAGCAUCUUGUGACACUUUGCUGGCCAAGCGAGGAAGACCUACUAGAAAAUUCAAGAUCAUGUGCUUUCAAGAGCUCUUUUGCCAUUUUGGCCAAAGAAUCCACCAGGGUAGGCACCAAGCCGAGGCCCAAGGACAAGAUGGGUCCAUAUUGCUUAGAGAGCUGCCAUAGGUAGACAUGAGGGGUUGAGUUAUCCAUCUGGUACAAGUUCCCAAUGAAGGGAAGCCCAGGACCAGGUGGAAGAUGAAGUUCAAUAUUUUAGAAUCUUGUUAGUAUAAAAUCAAAUUUAAUUUUUUUUAAUAAAAUUGUAUUUAAUGGAUUCUUUUGAUAAAAUUGAAUUAAACUUUUUUAAAUAAAUAAACUGAAAUCAUUAAUUUGAAAUUACUUUUAAUAUAAAUAAAUUCUUUUUGAAAUUUCUUAAAAAUCUUGUAAUCUUUAAAAUAAUUAAAUCAUUUUUUUUAUCAAUUUAAUAAAUCAUCUUGUAUAAUUCUCAUGUUAUUCUUUUUAUACACUCUUAUAAUAUGAUUUUGUCACCAUGAUUUGUUAUAUAUUGAUUUGUGUCAUUUUGUUUUUGGGUAUCAUAAUUAAUUAAUUAAUUAUCAUAAUUCAUUUUUAUUGAACUUUUGACUAUCAUCUUUUUGAAUUCUUCUCCUUCUUAAUUACUCCUUACCUUGUUUUCUUAAGAUCAUUUUGUUUACCACAUUCAAAUAUAAACAUUAGAUUUAAGCACAAAAUAAAUCAAACCUUCAUCUAAUAGCAACAUUUAUUUAUUCCAAAAGUCUUAUUUUUCUAACACAAAUUCAAAUAGUUUAUAUACUAAAUUUGGAAAAAUUAUAUUUUUAAAGUUGAUUACAUCAAAAUAUUUAUUUUCUUAAAAUUAUUUUUAGAAUUCUUUUUUUAUUGUUGAAAGUUGGGAUUCUUUUUGUAUAUAUCUAUAUAUAUAUAUAUAUAUGUUAACUUUGUUUUAUCAGUUCCAAAAGCUAAAAUAAAUGUUUAUCCUUUGAAGUACCACAUUGUACAAAUUAGAGACCUUCAAGAUUUCUUAUAGAAAAAAAAAAAAAAAAUACAAAUACAAAUCUCACCUUGAAGCAAAACCAUGAUAAGUUUUCUUUUAUUGAAAUAAAACUAAUGUUAAAGAAACCUUCAUAAUGUGUGUUUAUAUGCAAGAAUAGAAAAAAAAAAAAAGAUGAGCAUGAACAUUGACGGAUUCAAGUGGGGCUUACAGGGGGCUUCACCUCAAUAAAAGUGGGUUUUAAGCAUAUGACCUCAAUUUUGGAGAAAAAUUACGCUACCGAUGAACUAAAUCUUGUUUUUUGCCUUAAUUUUAUCCCUUCUAAAUGUAAUCUCUUUUAUUUUGCCCUCUCUAAAUCCUAUUUCUAGCUCCGUCCUGAGCACGAACAUAAAUUACAAUAUCAUGUAAAUAUAAAAAAGAGAAAUUAAAUUAAUAAAUAAAAAGAAAAAUAAAAUGUUUUUUUUUCUAUUUCUAUUUCAAUAUUUCAUACAUGAUCUCAAGUAAUUAAAAAAAAAAAAAAAAAGAGUGAGCUUUGCCAAAGGAAAAACAUAAAAGAAACCAAUAAGCUUCCUUUUGUUAAGUAUUUACGAAAUUCUAUAUUUUUGAAACAACUAGGUAGACUUAAUUUUUAAAAUGUAGAUGUCUUUGGCUUUAUAGAAUCCAUAUUAUAUUUUACAUCAGAUUUGUAUAAACUUAAUUCUUCAAAUAAAUACAAAUCAUAAAUGUUUUUAGAUUUAUAAACAAUCAUAUGCCACGACUAUGAAUAUAGCAACUAUAUAAAAUUUAACAAUAUGAUGGUACAACUCCAAAGUGAAUGCUGGUAAAUUGAACUAAUUUUCCAAUAACUACAUUCCUCAUAAAGUUCAAAAUGGUAAACACCUCUUGAAAUGCAUUUUUUCUAGUAUGAUUUAAUCUAUUCUUUAUUGUAAAAAAUCUCUAUCACAUGCUACUUAUUAUUAAAGAAAAAAAACUUAAAUAAUAGAUAUAUAUUAUCUCACACCGGAUAAGGGAGAAAGUUUUUGACAUUAUAUCAAUAUGGAUUUUUCUUAAUCAUGUAAAUGCAUUUUAAAACCGUGAUGAUUCAUUUGGAUUUAAAAUGAACAAUAUUUACACAAUUGAGUGUAGAUUGUUACAAAUAGUAUUAAAGUUGAUUCUCGCCUUCAAUGUAAGAGUUUAUUUAGCCUCGUGUGAGAUAUUUGUUUAUUUGAUCUCAUAAUUCUGUAAACACAUGACAAAAAUAUUGUAUUUGCUUAAGACGAUUGUAAUAUCAUACAUCGAAUAAGAGAGUUUCUAAUGAUAUAUAAAUAUAAAUUUUCUUUGAUCAUGUACACACGUUUUAAAAUUACAAGAACUCAUUUGAACUUAGAGCAAAUAAUAUCUAUAAAGUUAGAUACGAAUCGUUAUAAUAUAAUUUUUAGGAAAAAUUUAGAAGUGUGUACAAGGAGAAGAAUAUAUUUUUCAUGGGUAUAUAUUUGUUUGUGUAACCGCUCGAUCAACUUAUGGAUUGAGCGAGACAUGAGAUUAAUUAUGCACCACGAAUUAAACUGCAACUUGCAGAAGGUCCAAUUAGGUAUACGUAGGUUCAAUCAACAUAACAAAUAUGGGGUGUAGCUAGAAAUAUCAAGCAAGCGGGGCUCUAUAUUAGCCACAAUUGAUGGGAUGAGUCUUAUGGCAAACAGUAGGAAGAAUACCCCGCCAUUAAACAAACUCCACAUGAUUUUUCAAACCCAUGCAAGUAAACUAACUUCCCCCCUAUGACAACGAGGUGUCCUUGUGGAUGUCUUUGAAAAGUUUAGAACUUCUCAUGGUCAUGAGCUUUAAUUACAACUUCAUAGAUAUCAUUUACUUUAAAUUGAUUAAUUGACCCAUGUUACUCUAAAGAACAUCUAUACAUAUCAAAUAAAUCACCUUUUAUAAGUAUCCAUAGCUAAAGUGAGAUAUCGCAUUCACCAUUUAAUAUAAAUACAAUGUUUUUGUUAUGACCUAUAAGAUUAGGAACUCAUUUCCUAACACGAUGUGCUUGAAAAUAUCAUAUUACAUUAAAAGAAUAUUAAAAAUUUCCUUCAUACAUGAUAUACAAUAUCAUACCAAUAUCCUCGUUGUGGUCUAUAAAAGGGUUAAAAUUUCUCUUAUUGUUUCGUCAUUCCUCAUUGGAUUAAUAUAUGAUUUGUUAUGAACUUGUAAUUGUUAUUCAUUUUAUGGUAAUUGGUUAUCUCUUGUUUUUCUAUUUAAAGCUUGAUACUUGAAUAUUUUUUUUCAAAAUAUUAAUUUUGAAAUUAAUGUUCUUUAGGACAAUUAAUUUUUUUUUUUUACUUAUUGCUUUGUCUGAGGAAAUUUUGUUUGAAGGAAAAAAUGAAUUUAUUUAUUUAUUGCGGAAUUGAAAUAGGUCACUUUUUUAAGACUUUAGAGGCUUGACAAAUAAGUUUUUUAAAGUACUUAAUUUAUUUUUUAAAUUUUCUAUACUAAUUAUAAAUUUGAUAUUUCUCUUAUAUUUGGAAAUAUGUAAUAGAAUUUUCAUAUUUUCCUUUGAUUUUGGUUUAGAAUUUGCCAAAUUAUUAGUUUUUGUCUUAAAUUUAUAAAAUAAAAACAAACAUAAUAAUGAUAUUUUUGUACGGAUAUUAAUGUUAAAAUCUAAUUUAAAUUUUUUUAAUUAUUGCAAUGAAUUUGGGGUUUUUGAUUAUUUGAAAAUAUGUUAAAUUUCUACUUUAUCAAAUUAAUAAUUUGAUAAUAUUCUAUUUUGAUAAUUUAAAAUAAGAAUAAAUACAAUUUAUAAUUUUUAUGAGACAUUUUAUUACAAUUUUAAUAUAUUUUUAGCAUGUAAAAAGAAAAAAAGAGUUAGCACAACAACAUUUAGACAUCAUAAAAGCAAAAAUAAUUAAACAAUAACUUCUAUGUUCAUAAAUUUAUCCAGAUUAAGGUAUCUAGAUCAUUAUGUAUUAAUACUUCUAAUUUUAUAGGAUGCCUCCAACACAGACUUCAAAUUAAUUAACCUAGUAAUAUGACCUUUUGUCUUCCAUUUUUACAUCAAAUAAAAAGAUAUGCAUAUUUAUUUACAUGCCUAUUCAUCAGAUAUGGCUCCUAGCCAACAGGCAAAGAGCAUUCUUCUUGUGCAUGGUGAUACCAGGUUUGACAUCGGUGUCUAUGUCUUCCUUGUUCAUUCCAGCAGGCAUUUCCCAGUCAAAUGAGUAAAGUAGAUUAGCUAGUGUCAGCUCCACCAUCACAGCUCCUAGCAGUAACCCUGGGCAAACUCGUCGUCCUCCUCCAAAAGGUAUGAGCUGGUAAUCCUGUCCUUUGAAGUCUAUGGAAGAACCCAAGAAUCUCUCAGGCAUGAACUCUUCUGGGUUUUCCCAGAACUCAGGAUCUCUUCCAAUGGCCCAUGCAUUCACAAACACGAGGGUUUUGGGUGCUAUCUCAUACCCAUCUAUCACACACUUUUCAAGUGUUUCUCUCGGGACCAGCAAUGGAGCUGCUGGAUGCAAUCUCAUCGUCUCCUUCACUAGUGCUUUGAGAUAAGAAAGCUUCUGGAGAUCAUCUUCAUCCACAAAGCCCUUCUUCCCGAUUAAAUUUCUGAGUUCUUCUUGUGCUUUCUUCAUCACUAUGGGAUUCUUCAUUAGUUCUGUCAUCGCCCAAACCACUGUGGCCGCACUUGUAUCUGUUCCUGCGACAAAUAUGUCCUGCAAGGAAAAUCAAAGAAAACAAAUAUAAGGGGUUAACUUGUAAUAUGCAGUACUAUAUACUCAAUAUUAAUCUAGCUAGUCAAAUUAAUAAAUUACCACGAACAUAGCUUUAAUGUGAUCCCAAGUGAGAUCAACUGUAGAUGAACGAUCCUUCUGCAGUCUAAGCAAGACAUCAGUGAUGUCUUCUUGCUCAAGCUUUGAUCUAUUUGGAUCCAGGUGCUCAUCAAUGAUUUCUUGACAAAACAAAUCCAAUUCCUCGAAAAUUUUCUCGAGCCGAGCAAUCAUGCCUGUGAGUUUGUCGACCCAGCCCAUUAAAGGAAAAUGGUCCGAGAAAAAGAAGGCCAUCGACAUGGUCUGAACUCCACCUAGGAGUUCAUGAAAUCUACUUCUUUCACAUCCUUCAUCAUCGUACCUCUUACCGAACGCAACCCUGCAGAUUAUGGUGCUUGUGAGAAGAAUUAAGAUCUCACUUAAGUUGGUGAGCUUGGAAGCAGAAGCAAACUUGGAAAUCUUUUUAACCGUUUCCAGAACCUCAUCUUCCCGGAUAUGACGAAAGGAUUGCACCCUUUUAGAAUUGAAAAGAUGAAGAGCACAAACCUUUCUCAUUUCCCUCCAAUAAUCAUUGGAUGGAGCAACAGACAAAGAUAGGCCAUUGUAGGUUAACUUUUUCAGGCCAAGCAUGGAAGGCCUGCCAGAAAAUUCAAGAUCGUGUGUUUUCAUGACCUCUUUUGCCAUUCUUGCAGAAGAAACAACUAGGGUUGGCACGAAACCAAGGCGUAAGAACAUGAGGGAGCCGUAUUGUUUAGAAAGUUGCCAUAGGUAGAGAUGAGGAGCUGUUUUACUAAUCUGGAGCAAGUUUCCAAUGAAGGGCAGCCCUGGAGGACCUGGUGGAAGGGGCGUUCUUCCAUUGUUUCUGUGGUUUCGAACAAGAAACAAGAGGAAGAGAGGGAGAGCUAAAAGGAUAAGAUGCAAUAUCAUCACGGUUUGAGGGGGUUUGGGGAGCUGCUGAGAGUCUUUGAUAUGCAAAAAUGUUGAAGGAGUCUCUCCUCAAUGGCACUGGGCUAUCAGAUGCAGUAUUUGAUUUGCGUUGGCCGAUGAGCGUAGCCUAUCAUCCAAUGGACCUGCUUCGGAAGCCUAAUUAAUGUUAAUACUUAAUUGGCAGUUUGUCACAGAUGUAAAAGGGACUGUAGUGGUUGGAUCAUAACAACAAAAAUUUGGGUUUGGCUAAAUGAUUGGAGUCAGGCAGCUGAUCGAUUACGUGGAUAAGAGAGUCCCUCUCUUUUUUCUCUCUUGACAGAACUGAUAUCUAGGGAAGAGUCACAGAACAAAAGGGGCCACUUGUGAAAAGUAUCCAUCCAUUGACGGGAAUGUUCAAUGAAUGAAAUAGUAAUACAAACAAAACUAUAAAGCUACUCCUAAAAAUAGGCAUACGAACAUUAAUUUUCAAUAAAGCAAUAAGCGUCUUUUCAAUGAAUUAAACAAAACUACAAAAAUUUCUUCUCAAUUUAAAUACAGUAGAUAAGAUUUCCUAAGAAAGAAACAAGACAAUGGUAAUCCCUUUCAAAGACCUGUUCACUGUGACCACAAUUUUCCCCAAGAACAAACGUGGACAGCCAGGAAUGGAUCAUAAAAUGGGAUUUGGCUUCACCGGCGGACAAGAGAUUUGAGUAAUAUUAUCUACAAUAAAUAUGGAUCUAGAUUCCAGAAGCAUGCAAAUGGGCAUUGUGGAUAAGACUGAGCCUGUUUCAAAUGCAAGGAAUAUUGGGUUUGGGCUGGGGAUGGCAAUGGGCCCGUUGAUUAGAAAUAAUUCUUAUCUCCUUUCCAUUUAAAAAAUUAAACGGGUAGGGCGGGUAGUUUAACUUUUUUUUUUUUAAUUUAAUAUAUAUUUUUAAAUUACUUUUAAAAUUUUUAAUUAUAUUAAAAUAAGUAUAUUUUAUAAAUAAUUAAAUUAUUAUAUUUUUUUUAUAACUUAUUUUAUUAUUAUCUAUACACUAAAAAUAGUAAAAUAAAAAUUAAAUUAAAUUAAUUUUAAAAUUUGAAUUAAAUUAAUUUUAUAUAUAAUUGGGGUGGGACGGGGCAAUACCCGAACCCGCCCUAGGUUUUUUUAAAAAAAAUCCCAAACCCGUUUAUUAAAAUUGAAUCCUGUCCUAUUAGGAGCGGGAUAGGACGAGUAUCCAAAAAAACCCGUCCCAUUGUCAUCCCUAGUUUGGACAGGUAUUGUUAGCUUUGAGUUUAAAGAUAUCCUUACAAUUUUACAAUACAUCUAACAUUUAAAGGAGUAUAGCACUAGUCACUAUCUACAAUUUAAAGGAAUUCAUGAAUAUAUAACAUUAAUAACUUUUUCGUUUAUUCAGCGAGAUAUUAAAAUCACCAUCUCAUACAGACAUAAUGUUCUAGUUGUGUCCUACUAGAUUACAAAACCACAAAGAUAGUCACCUCCUCAUGAGUUGAGGAUCAAUUAUGAUAUUAUUUGUAAUAACUUACUCUCAAUUUGCCCUUGUGAUUUUAAAAUGUGUUUAUAAAGUUAGGAUGAGUCCAUAUAUAUAUAGUAUUAUCUAAUAUGAGAUAUUACAACACAAUUAUAGAUGUAGUUGGGUUGGACCUAUCAUUUCAAAUAUUAAUCACUGGUAUAGAAGUUUUAUGCUCCAAAUAUUAAUCUCUACUGUAGAAGUUUUAUGCUGCUUAAUAACCCACUAAUAAGUUAUACUAAAAAUAUUAAUCUCUGCUGUAAAAGUUUUAUUUAUUUAUUUAUUUAUAGGCAAUAGUUUUGAUCAAAUGUCAUAAAAUAAGCAAAAUACUCGUCAAAAUUUUGAUAAAUAUAAAUGGUAUUUGUAAUACGAUUUAAAUGGUAUUUGUUUCUUUAAAUGCAAUUUUUUGUAAUACGAUUUAAAUGAUAUUUGUUUUUUUAUUGAAUAGAAAAAUUUAAAAUAUUUGAUUUUUUCUAUUUCAUUAAAAAUAAUUUAGUGAUAAAUUAAUAUAAUUAAAAUAAACUUAUUACUAAUAAAUUUACUUUAGUUAUCUUAUUUGAUAUCAAUAAUUACUUUUAAUUGAAUGUAAAAAGUCAAAUAUUUUAAUAUUUUUUAUUAAGUGAAAAAAAAAAUACAUUCUUAAUUUUCUUUCAUGGUAUAAAAUUAAUCUACAUACGUGGGAUGCUAAAAAAACAUAUCAUUAAUUUUAAGAAAAAGUUUAUAAAAAGCCUGUUGUAUGACUAGGAGAGGAACGUAGUUUUCAUGAGUAUAAUUUUCUUUCUGUCACGGAACAACUUUUGGAUGGAGUGUGGACAUGAGAUUAAGCCCGUCUACUCAAACUACAACUUUGGAGAAGGUCCAAGGUAUGGUGCUCAAUCAACAUGGAAAAAGCGAGAUAGUUGGAAACAAGAGGGUCAAUCAUGGCCACAAUUAAUGAGACAUGAGUAUGACAUGGAUAACGAUCCAAGUCAUAUAAAUGAUAUAAUACAGCCAAGGGAAACUUAUCUAAAAUAGUAGCAAAAAGUCUACAAAUGUGUCUUUUAAGUACACUAAUUUUUCCUCUUGGUUUUCUCAAAUGUUAUUUGAUAUUUAUAUUUUUUAGAUAUCCAAAUGCCAUCUUCUAACUAGAGCAAAUGAUCAUUUCUUAUAAUAGAAAAAAUGUCCGUUGAGUUUAUGUAGUCGUGUUCUUGAAAAUAUGACAACUAAUUCAUGUUCUUAAGAACAUAAUAUCUGGUUUGUGUUAUUGAGAAUACAACAUAUGGUUCUCAUUCUUAAUAAUACGAUUGUAAGAGUCUCUUAUAUAAAUAAUUUAUGUUAUCUUCCCGUCUUUACUUGAAUGCCCACUUCAUGUCUAAGGCCCAUUAUGUUUGAUUUCGGUCAUGUAGUUUUUUUUUUUGUAAAUUUUUUGUGUACAUGUGCUUUAUUUUAUUUAAUUUUUUCUCCUUACUUUAAUUUUUUUGUUCCACUUUUUGUUCUUUUUAUGCUUUAUUUAUUACUUUAAUAUUAAUUAUAUUAUUAUUAUUGAAUAUUAAUAUUAUUAUUACUAUAAUUAUUUAUGUUAGAAAAUUUUAAUUAAAUAAUGAUAUUAUUAUUAGAAUUUAAUAUUAUUUGUAUGGAUAUGAUGCCUAUUACUAGAUGAAUAUACCAUAUACCAGUCAUAGAAGAUGCCUCUUUUUUUUUUUUUUAAUUAACAAAAUUUGAAGCUGUCAUUGUAAAAAUCACUUAUACUAGGAUUUCACCUCAUGUAAUGCACUGAUACAAUGCCUAUAAGAAAAUCAAAGCUUGCCUUAUUUUUUUUAAUUAUAUUUAGUUUUCUAAAAUUUUCAUAAUUUUCAACCUCGGGACCAUCCUCCAAGCUUACACUCCAUUCCAUUAUUUAUUUUGCAGCUUGGGGGAUUCGAACCCAAAUUGGACUAAGCUGCUCAUUGAUAAUAAAUGUUGAAUUUAAAUUGGUUAAGGUUCAUCGUUAAAAAGAAAAACCUAAUUCUAAUUAUUUUAUUUUAAAUUAUAUUUAAUUGAUUAAUAAAAAUAUAAAAAUCAAUAUUAUAAUAUUUUAAUAAGUCUUUUUUAUAUAUCAUUUAUAUGAUAAUUAAAUAUAAAAAUAUAAAUAUUAAAAAAAUCAUAUACGUAUCAUCAUUUAUUUCACUCUAUUAAAUGAAUUUGAAUUAAAUAAAUUAUACAUUUUAAUAUUAAAUAUAUCAUCAUUUAUCUUAUUAAUUCUAUUAUAAAAAAUUACUAUCACUUCACUUUUAAAUUUUUUAUAUCUAUCCUUUUAAUUUUGAAUGUUUUUAUUUUAAAAUAUUUAAAAUAUAAAUUUAUUUAAAAAAACUAAAAUAUAAAUAAUAAUGAUAAUAAGAAAUUUAUAAUAUUUUAUAAAUUAAAAUUAAUUUGAUAAGAUAAAUAAUAAAUUAUAUAUUAUAAUCGAUAUAUCAUUGCAUAUAGAUAUUUUUUUUCAUAACAAUAUUUAUGUUAAUUACAUUUACAAAAUAAUUUUAAAAUAUAUAUUUUUAUUUAUUUUAUAAUUUUUUAGAGUUUUUUUAAAUAUUUUCAUGAAUUUCAAACCUUGGUAUAUACAUAAAAAUCAAAUUGCUCUAAUAGAAGGAGAGAUUAAUAAUUAUAUUAUUAUAAUUAUACUGUUUAUAAUAAAAUUAUAAUUUUAAAAAAGAAAAGACAAAAUAGAGAAAAAAAAGGUAUAAUUGAUUUAAAAGUGAAAAUCAUGGGCAUAUUUUGAUUUUUAAUUUUUUAGAUUCUUUUUAAGGGUUGUUACAAAAACAUAAUAACUUGAGAUAUAUAAGUUACUUGUAAAGGAUAAUUUCUGACAUUUUUUUUCAGUGGUACAUACAAAAUAACUGGGGGUUGUUUGUUUUUGUUUUUGUUUUUUGUUUUUUGUUUUUUGUUUUUGUUUGUUUGUUUAUUUAUUUAUUUAUUUUUUAAGUUAAGUCCUAAACCAAGUUACUUUAAGAUUUAAAAUUAAAGUAAAAUAGAAAAAUUGUCUUUUCUAUCAAAAGAAUAUAUAUAUAUAUAUAUAUUUUUAUAGAAAAAGUGGCGAUUUAAAAUGUUUGAAAAUAUGUUAAAUUUCUACUUUAUCAAAUUAUUAAUUUUAUAAUAUUCUAUUUUUAAUUUUUAUGAGACAUUUAAUUACGAUUUUAAUUAAUAUAUUUUUAGCAUGUGAAAAAGCCAAAAAAAAAAAAGAAGUGUCAUUGACACUGUUAGAUCAAGCUCUAUUCAAAUUUAUAUUAAAUUUAAAUCUUUUCGAUUUUGAUAUACAAAAAAAAUUCUAUUUUAAUAUAAGUAAAGAAAAAUAUGUUAAAUUUAAUAGUUUGAAAAUAAAAAUUAAGUUAGUUUUUUUUUUUAAAAAAAUCUUGAUACUUGAAAAAAUAAUUUCUAUGUUCAUAAAUUUAUCCAGAUUAAGCUAUCUAGAUCAUUAUGUAUUAAUACUUCUAAUUUUAUAGGAUGCCUCCAACAUAGACUUCAAAUUAACUUAGUAAUAUGAGCUUUUGCCUUCCAUUUUUACAUCAAAUAUAUAAAAAGAUAUGCAUAUUUAUUUACAUGCCUAUUCAUCAGGUAUGGCUCCUAGCCAACAGGCAAAGAGCAUUCUUCUUGUGCACUGUGAUACCAGGUUUGACGUCGGUGUCUAUGUCUUCCUUGUUCAUCCCAGCAGGCAUUUCCCAGUCGAAUGAGUAAAGAAGAUUAGCUAGUGUCAGCUCCACCAUCACAACUCCUAGCAGUGACCCUGGGCAAGCUCUUCGUCCUCCUCCAAAAGGUAUGAAUUGGUAAUCCUGUCCUUUGAAGUCUAUGGAAGAACCCAAGAAUCUCUCAGGCAUGAACUCUUCUGGGUUUUCCCAGAACUCAGGAUCUCUUCCAAUGGCCCAUGCAUUCACAAACACGAGGGUUUUGGGUGCUAUCUCAUACCCAUCUAUCACACACUUUUCACGUGUUUCUCGCGGGACCAGCAAUGGAGCUGCAGGAUGCAAUCUCAUCGUCUCCUUCACUAGUGCUUUGAGAUAACAAAGCAUCUGAAGAUCAUCUUCAUCCACAAAGCCCUUCUUUCCGAUUGAAUUUCUGAAUUCUUCUUGUGCUUUCUUCAUCACUAUGGGAUUCUUCAUUAGUUCUGUCAUCGCCCAAACCAGAGUGGCCGCACUUGUAUCUGUUCCUGCGAUAAAUAUGUCCUGCAAGGAAAAUCAAAGAAAACAAAUAGAAGGGGUUAACUUGUAAUAUGCAGGACUGUGUGUUCAAUAUUAAUCUAUCUAAUCAAAUUAAUUUUGGACUGAAAAUUAAUAAAUUACCAUGAGGAUAGCUUUAAUGUGAUCCCAAGUGAGAUCAACUGUAAACGAACGAUCCUUCUGCAGUCUAAGCAAGAUAUCAGUGAUGUCUUCCUGCUCAGGCAUUGGUUUAUUUGGAUCCAGGUGCUCAUCAAUGAUUUUUUGACAAAACAAAUCCAAUUCCUCGGAAACUUUCUCGAGCCUAGAAAUCAUGCCUGUGAGUUUGUCGACCCAGCUCAUUAAAGGAAAAUAGUCCGAGAAAAAGAAGGCUAUCGCCAUGGUCUGAAUUCCACCUAGGAGUUCAUGAAAUCUACUUCUUUCACAUCCUUCAUCAUCGUACCUCUUACCGAACGCAACCCUGCAGAUUAUGGUGCUUGUGAGAGGAAUUAAGAUCUCGCUUAAGUUGGUGAGCUUGGAAGCAGAAGCAAACUUGGAAAUCUUUUUAAUCAUUUCCAGAACCUCAUCUUCCCGUAUGUAACGAAAGGAUUGCACCCUUUUAGAGUUGAAAAGAUGGAGGACACAAAUCUUCCUCAUUUCUCUCCAAUAAUCAUUAUAUGGGGUAAAGGUCAAACCGAGGCCAUUGUAGAAUAACUUCUGUUGACCAAGCAAGGAAGGCCUACCAGAAAAUUCAAGAUCAUGUGUUUUCAUGACCUCUUUUGCCAUUCUUGCCGAAGAAACAACUAGGGUUGGCACGAAACCAAGGCGCAAGAACAUGAGGGGGCCAUAUUGUUUAGAAAGUCGCCAUAGGUAGAGAUGAGGAGCUGAUUUAUCAAGCUGGAGCAAGUUUCCAAUAAAGGGCAGCCCUGGAGGACCUGGUGGAAGGGGCGCUCUUCUUUGGUUUCGAAGAAGAAACAAGAGGAAGAGAGGGAGAGCUAAAAGGAUAAGAAGCAAUAUCAUCAUGGUUUGGGGAGCUGCUGAGAGUGCUUGAUAUGCAAAAAUGUUGAAGGAGUCUCUCCAAAAAAUGAAAAAGAAACAGCUCUGAACGGCAAUGGACUAUCAGAUGCAGUGUUUGAUUUACGCUGGCCGAUGAGCGUGGGGCUGAUUUCUAAUAUCAUGGACCUGCUUCGGAAGCCUAUUGUUAAUGCUUAAUUGGCAGUUUGUCACAGAUCUGGUUGCUCUAUGAAAUGGACUCAAAUUUGGGCUUGGCUAAAUGAUUGGAAUCAGGCUGAUCCCACUACGAUGGAUUGUGUGAAGAAGAAAGAAUAAACUACAGUGUGGGUGACUUUUCAAUGGAUAAAGCAUUAAGACAAGCAAAGCUUCAUAUUUUUCAAUAAAGCAGUAAACUAAGGACAAAGGAGCAUCUCCAUCUUCCAGAUAUAGACCGUAACGUGUUUGAUAAAUAUGUAUACCAUUAGGAUAUGUUUGGAUGUCAAGUCAAAAUGAACUGCCCAUAUUUGUGUUUUAUAUGAAAAUGGGGCCAAAUCCUUGAAGGGGAUUGUUUCUGUCGUGUUCUUCAGAAGUCAGUUCCACGCGUUUAAAUUUUCAACGGUGAGGACUGGACCAUAAAUUGGAUGGACUGGAAUGCAGCCUACAGAUUUCGGUAUAUCAUUUAUACAAAAUUAGAUUCGAGAAUCAGAUGAUAUUGUUAAAAAAAGCUUUUGUGGAUCAUAUUGGGCCUGUUUCAAAUGUAAGAAAUGUUGUGUUUGGGUUUCGGUUGGCCAAUGGUAUGCUGGUUCCUUUUUUAGACCAUGAUCUAAUAUUCGGCUCCAAUUCCAAUUCCAUUUACUUUGGUCUUAUAUACAUUAUAAUUUCCUUCUUCUUUUUUUUUUUUUUGGUGAAAUUUUCCAAUAUAUAUAUCUUGAAUUGCCUUAGAAGACCUUGAAUCAACAACUCCAAAGACAGAAAAAAAACUCUACAAAUUGUCUUAUUAGAUUAAAAGUGAUUAUAAGAAAUAUUUUUAGUUUAAAUAGUGUUUUUUGAAAAAAUAUUAGGUGUUAUAUAAAAUUUAGGAAAUAUUUUUAAAAAUCUGAAAAAUCACUUGUAAUGCUAGAAAAUCAAUUGUAAUGUUUUUUUUUUUUUGAGAAAUAUUGUAUAGGUAAUUUUUUAAAAAACAUUUUUAGAAAAAAUAUUUUCACUAAAAACGCUUCAAGUAAAUAUUAUCAAACACACAUUAAGGAAGACAAAAGAAAAUUUAAAGUGAUUUUAUUUUUUGAAAUAAUUAUGUAGAUUUACUUAUCUGAAUAAAUCCAAAAUGAAAUUGGCUUUAGUUUUUAAAAAAUCCAUCUUAUAUUUUUUACACCAUAUUUGCAACUUGAUUGUUCAAAACCAUACAAUUUAUAAAUGUUUUUAGCUUUACAAAAUCUUAUAUAUCAGGAUCCUUCAUAUGGUGAAGACAUAAUUAAUUUACAAUCAAUAAUAUUUUAUUUAUUGUUUCUCUUUAAUUUAAAUGUCACGAUUUUUUGUUUAAUCAAAAUCUUAUUUCAGUGAACUUACACAAUGAUUCAGAUCCUUGUAAUAUGAUUUAGUGAGACAUGAGUAUGACAUGGAUAACGACCCAAGUAGGGAAACUUAUCUAAAAUAGAAGUAAAAAAGUCUACAAAUGUGUCUUAUAAAUAUAUUAAUUUUCCCUUAUUGUUUUCCUAAAUGUUAUUUGAUAUUUUUAUUUUUUAGGUGUUCAUGUGUUAUCUUCUUAUUGAAGUGAUAACUUCUUAUAACAGAAAAUAUAUCCCUUGAACUUAUGUAAUCAUACUCUUAAAAACACGACAUCUAAUUCAUAUUCUUGAAAACACAACAUCUAAUUUGUGUUCUUGAGAACACAAAAUAUGGUUUGCAUUCUCAAGAAUACAGUUGUAGGAGAGUAUUCGAUACAAGAAAUUUAUGUUGUGUUUUCAUCUUUACUUGAGUGCCCACUUCAUGUGCAAAGGCUUAUUAUGUUUGAUUUGAGUUAUGUAGUUUUUUUUUUUUUUUUCACUUUUUGUGUUCUUGUGUUUAAUUUAUUAUAUUUAAUUUUUUCUACUUAACUUGAAUUUUUUUGCUCCACUUUUUGUUCUUUUUAUGCUUUAUUUAUUACUUUGAUAUUAAUUAUAUUAUUAUUAUUGCUAUAAUUAUUUAUGUUAGCAAAUUUUAAUUAAAUAAUUAUAUUAUUAUUAGAAUUUAAUAUUAUUUGUAUGGACAUGCAUGAUACCUAUUACUAGAUGAAGUUAUUAUUUAUAUUAUUAAUAUUAUUAUUUAUCUCUUGAUCUCAUAUACCAUGAAGAUGCAUUCAUUUUUAAUUUACAAAAUUUGAAGUUGUUAUUAUAAAAAUCAUUUACCCAAUGUAAUGCAUUGAUACAAAGCUUUCCAAAGCAUAUGUAUGAAAAAAAUAUAUUGAUUUUAUAAUAUAAAUAUACUAAAAUAAUCAAUACAAGAUGAUAAGCUUAUUUUUUUCUUAUAUACCAUUUGACAUCUUAUAUAUAGAUAUAAUUUUUGUUCAAACUAUUACCUAAUAUAAUACAUCUUUACUCGUAUCGAGUACUUUCCCUCAUAUAGCAUAGAUAUUCUCUACUCCCACAAUGCCAACUACAACACAAAGGGAAAACAUCCACUAAAUAAAAGGAAAUCUCUUCAAGGGAGCUUCCAAUGGCUGAAAUUGGUGGGGAAAUUGCUUGCAAUCUAUUAUAGGCAUAGGCUAAAAAUGUUAUACACUUAAUUGAUUGCAACUUAACGUUCUCGGAUUCCUAGUAGUGGUUCUUAUAAAAAUAUAAAAGGUGCGUCUCUUAUAUAAUAUAGUCUUUCUUAAACAGCCUAUUUAAAGAGUCAUCAGGAAGCAGUAUAUAUAUAAAAAUUGAAUUGCUCUAAUGGAAGGAGGGAGUUAAAUUAUAUUGUCUGUAAUAAAAUAAUAAUUUUAAAAAAUAAAAGACAAAAUACGGAGAAAAAAAGAAGGUAUAAUUGAUUUAAAAGUGAAAAUCAUGAGCAUUUUUUUAUUUUUUAGAUUAAGGGUUAUAAAAACAUAAUAACUAGAGAUGUAUAAGUUAUUUGUAAAGGAUAAUUUCUAGCAUUUUUUUUUUCAAUGAUACAUGCAAAAUAAUUAAUCGAUUGUUUGUUUGUUUUUUUUUUUUUUUUUCAAGUCUUAAAUCAAGUUACUUUAAGAUUUAAAAUUAAAGUAAAAUAGAAAAAAAAAUGUCUUUUCCAUCAAGAGAAUUUUUUUUUGAAAAAGUGGUGAUUUAAAAAACAAACAAUUUUAAUUGCUUUGAAAUUAAAGUUAAGGAAAAUUUAAAAAUUAAAAAUAAAAUAAAACUUUAAUAUGGAAUACACUAAAAGUAAUGACAAGAGUAAUUGGCUGUUGUUUCUUUGUACUAAUUCAUGUCAAAUAAAAGUAGGCAUAUUUACUGUCCCAUUAAUGACUAGGGAUCCUCGCCAAAAGGCAAAGAGCAUUCUUCUUGUGCAUUGUAAUACCAGGUUUGACGUCGAUGUCUAUGUCUUCCUUGUUCAUUCCAGCGGGCAUUUCCCAGUCAAACGAGUAAAGAAGAUUAGCUAGUGUCAGCUCCACCAUCGCAGCUCCUAGAUUUAAGCCUGGGCAAAUUCUUCGUCCUCCUCCGAAGGGUAUGAGUUGGUAAUCCUGUCCUUUGAAGUCUAUGGAAGUUCCCAAGAAUCUCUCAGGCAUGAACUCUUCUGGGUUUUCCCAGGACUCAGGAUCUCUUCCGAUUGCCCAUGCAUUCACAUACACUAGGGUUUUGGGUGGUAUCUCAUACCCAUCUAUCACACACUUCUCAAGUGUUUCUCUCGGGACUAGCAAUGGGCUUGCAGGGUGCAAUCUCAUCGUCUCCUUCACAAUUGCUUUCAGAUACGGAAGCUUCUGAAGAUCAUCUUCAUCUACAAAACCUUUCUUUCCGAUUAAAUUUCUGAGUUCCUCUUGUGCUUUCGUCAUCGUUCUAGGAUUCUUCAUGAGCAUUGUCAUUGCCCAAACCAAGGUAGCUGCGCUUGUAUCUGUCCCUGCGAGAAAUAUGUUCUGAAAAAAAAUAAAAAAUAAAAAAUAAUAAUAAUGAAAUUAAUUAAGAAAAAAAUAGACAUGGGUCAUUUCUAAUAUGCUUUAGAUUCAUGUUAUCUAGUCAUACUAAUUUUGGGGUAAAAAUAAAUUACCAUGAGAACUGCUUUAAUGUGAUCAAAAGUGAGAUCAAUUGUAAACAGACGAUUCUUCUGCAGUUUAAGUAAGACGUCAGUGAUGUCUUCUUUCUCAGGCUCUGGUCUAUUUGGAUCCAGGUGCUCAUCAAUGAUUUCUUGAUAAAACAAAUCAAAUUCCUUGAAAUUUUUAUCGGCCAGAGCAAUCAUCCCUGUGAGUUUAUCAACCCAGCCCAUCAAAGGAAAAUAAUCCGAGAAAUAGAAGCCUCCCACCACAGCCUGACCUUCACCUACGAGUUUCUGAAAUCUGCUUCUUUCAUAUCCUUCAUCAUCGUACCUCUUACUGAAAGCAACCCUGCAGAUUAUGGUGCUUGUGAGAGAAAUUAAGAUCUCACUUAAGUUAGUGAGCUUGGAAGCAGAAGCAAACUGGGAAAUUUUUUUAAUCAUUUCCAAAACCUCAUCUUCCCGAAUGGGACGAAAGGAUUGCGCCCUUUUAGAGUUGAAAAGAUGGAGAACACAAAUCUUCCUCAUUUCUCUCCAAUAAUCAUUAUAUGGUGAAAAGGCCACAUCCAGGCCAUUGUAGGAUAGCUUCCGCAGACCAAGCAAGGAAGGCCUACCAGAAAAUUCAAGAUCAUGUGUUUUCAUGACCUCUUUUGCCAUUCUUGCUGAAGAAACCACUAGGGUUGGCACAAAACCAAGGCGCAAGAUCAUGAGGGGGCCAUAUUGCUUAGAAAGUCGCCAUAGGUAGAUAUGAGGAGCUGAUUUAUCAAGCUGGAGCAAGUUUCCAAUCAGGGGAAGCCCUGGAGGACCUGGUGGGAGGGGCGUUCUUCUUCGAUUCCGAAGAAGAAACAAGAGAAAGAGAGGGAGAGCUAAAAGGAUAAGAAGCAAAAUCAUCAUGGUUUGGGGUGUUUGGGGAGCUACUGAGAGUAUGUGAUAUGUAAAAAUGUUGAAGGAGUCUCUUUAAAAUUUAAAUACACUUCUCAACGGCAAUGGACUAUCAGCUGCAGUAUUUGAUUUGUGUUGACCAGUGAGCGUGGCCUAUCAUCCAAAGGGCUGAUUGAUGAAAUCAUUGAAAUCAUGGACCUGCUUCAGAAAGCCUACUGCUAAUGCUUAAUUGGCAGUUUGUCACAGAUCGGGUUGUUCUGUGAAAUGGACUCUAGUGGUUAGGAUCAUAACAACACAAAUUUGGCUUGGCCAAAUGAAUGGAAUCAGACUGAUCGAUUACGUGAUGAAUAAGAAGUGAUUAUAAGCCACCCCUCUGUUUCUGUCGUGACAGAAUAAAUACCUAAAGAGGAGGUACAGAAAUUAAAGGACCACUUGUGAAAAUUAUCCAUCAAUUAAUGUGAAUGUUCAAUGAAGGAAAAGUUAGGACAAAUAAAACUAGAAACCUUCUCAAAAAUUUCUCAAUCAAGUAAUAGGACAACGGCAAUUCCUUUCAAGGAUCUGUCCACAAUUUCCACAAGAACAAACGUGGACGGUGAGGACUGGACCCUAAAAUGGGACUUGGCUCCACCGACAGGAGACUUGAAUAAUAUUAUUUAGAAUAAUUUGAAUCCAGAAUCAUGCACAUUGACAUUGUUGGGUCUGUUACAAUUGCAAAGGAACAUUGGGUUUGGGCUGGCCUGCUCAUUCUUACAACUAUAGAUGCAAUUGGGCUCGGUCUAUUGUUCCAAAGGUUAAUUUGAUCAGAUGCAUACAGGCUGCUUAAUGAACCAUCUUGUGUUAUAGGAAGAACAACGUACGAUGAUUUUGCGCUGUGGGUGAAUCCUAAACAAACAGAGAAGAGUUGAAGAUAUCAAAGUGAUCAUCUUCCGGACGUGACAAUAGAAACAGGAGCUAGACAGAGGUGGUUUUUUGUGAAUACCUACCACCCGUGAAAUAUGUGCCAAGACCCGUGAAAUAUGUGCCAGACUGAGAAGGACGAAACAAACUCUACAGCGAUGUUGAUUGACCAAGUGAGACAAGAAAAUUACAAAGUAACUCAAGCAAAUAUCUGGAUAAAAUAUCGAGUCAUACUUUUCCCUUUUCAAAAUUUCGACGCCUUAAUUUUCUACAACUUGUUGAUACCUCGUGCUCCUGGUGUUCCACGUAGUUGCCAAAUGGAUGGACACGCAAUCUCAACCCACAAAGGUUCUUGAUUCAGUCGUUAUACCUGUAAAAGACAUCCGGACAGGGUGUCCGGACCCACCCUCCGAUGGUUUUGUUAGCCAUGGUUAGAGAGGGAGAUAUAAAUCAGUUGGCCUUUUACUAGGUAUCAGGAGAUUACCUUCCUCUUCGUGUGAAGGUUUAUAUAUAGUGCCAGGAGUACUGUUCCUCUCAUUAAUGGUGGGGAGAUAUUUUAUGUUGUCAUGAUGAUAUUUAGAUGGCAACAGGGUCAUCACCACCCUACGGGCGGAUGUCAGAGAUCAUGAGAAGUGAUCAUGUAGAAUGAUCGUGGGAAGUGACUUGUUGUCACCUCAAUCCGUCCUUUCACUCUGCAGGUGAUGGGACGUGGGCCAUGGUUGGUUGUUGUGAUAGCGUGUAAGACUCGCUUUACUUUAGUCAAUGAUCCGGACGAUCAUAUCCGGAUAGCCAUGUUGGUUAUCCGGAUGUAUUGUGGAGCGGGCGCAUUAAUGGAAGUCGUCCGGAUGUCUAUGCUUUGUAAGCGUCGUUUGUUCUUCUUUAAGGUAGUCCGGAUAAAAAGUGCGCCAUGUGUGCUUUAUAGAAAGAUCCAGAUGAGGAUGACCCGGAUGACAAUGCGUGCCAUGUGUCACUGUAAGAUGCGUGCCACGUAUCACUGCAAGAUGCGUGCCACGUGUUUCUUGGAGGGAGGGGUCCCUACACAACUGACCAAGACCGGAAAGUAAAAUAUCCAAUUUGGUGUGUUCUUCUCAAUUAUUAUGAGACAGUCAUCUUAGAGCAGAGCCCAAAGUAUCGGCCGAGUCGUAUCCACCUCGACACUUACCGCAACGAGUCCGAUAUCAAGUGCAAUCCUAUGCACUAACUCAGCACUAAAUUGGUAGGACUCAGUUGGCUUGUCUCAAAUUUCGAGUUAACUCGGUUGAAUCGAUUAAAUUACAAAAGUUUUUAUGAUUCAAAUUAGUGAUUUUUUUUCCCUUUCAAAUCAGAACAUAAAGAUCAUAAAUUUUUUUAAAAAUAUCAGAGGAAGAAGAAACAUUAAAAUUUAAUCGAAUGGUGACUUCCUUUUAAGUCUAAAAGAGAAGAGAUCAGACAGAUGAGGGCUCACUUACCUCAUCACAAUUGACGAAGCACAGGAGCUUUGGGGCUGAUGGAUGGUGACUCCUCAGCGUCGAUUUCAGUGGACUAAGCAUUGGAUACCUUUUUCGGUGAUGACGACCAUUCAAGGAGAGCUUCUACGGUGGGUUUGCAAACUUGCAGUCCGGUGGACAUGGGGAUAGUGAAAACCAUUUUUGGGGGAGUAUAGUAAAAGUGGAAUGUUAUGAUUUAUAUGCACCAUGAAAUUUAAUGAGAAUAACACAUUUGAAUAUUUUUAAUUUAUUAUAUAAUCUAUUUUUUUUUUGUCUUAUAACAUUCCAAAUUAAUUAAAGUAGAAAAUCAAUAAUUAUUUAAAAUAUAUAUUUAAAAAAAAAUCAUAAUUAUAAAAACAACAUUUUAAUAAUAGGUUUAUAUUAGGGAAUCAAUAAUUAUUUUUGUAUGUUAUAAAGAUUAUAUUUAUACUUGAAUUAUUUUUAAUUUAUUAUAUCAUAUAAAUUUUUUAUCUUAUAAUAUUGUAAAUUUUAAUUAUAUUAGGAAAUCAAUGAAUGCUUUUAUAAUUAUUUAAAUGAUGUUAGUUAUGAGACAAUUUUAUUUUAUUAUUUUUUUCUACCUUAUUUAUUUGUACCUAUUUUCUAAUAAUUUACGUAAUUUUUUUAUAAUUUUUAAAACUUUCUAAUUAUCAUAAUUUGUGUAUCGUUGAUACCAAACCCAUACACCGAGACUUAUGUGCCUUAAGAUCGUCCGAAUCAAUAACUGAUAUUGUGACUUUGAACCAUGUCUUAAGAGUCAUCGUUUCCUAGUAGAUAACUAUGAGAACAACAACUAGGAUCAGAAAGGUUUUGCUGCAGGGGGAUCGCAUGGAUGUAUUUUUCAUAUAUUUUUCUGUGUCUCGUGGACAGGUAACUUCCAUCGUUUGAGCUUCCACAUGGUAAUUGAUACCCCACUAAACCGCAACUGGUGGAAACCUCCAAGGAUGUUUCCAGCAAGUUGGCCAAGUUGUCCCGUGAAGGGUCCCCAUUAAUUAUUGAAGCAAUUCAUAUAUUUUUCUGUGUCUCGUGGACACGUAACUUCCAUCGUUUGAGCUUCCACAUGGUAAUUGAUACACCACUAAACCGCAACUGGCGGAAACCUCCAAGGAUGUUUCCAGCAAGUUGGCCAAGUUGUCCCGUGAAGUGUCCCUGUUAAUUAUUGAAGCAACGAGAAAAAACAAAAUUAUUAUGGAAAAUGGAAAAAUGACAUAGCAUAAAUUAUUAAAUUGAUUCCAUAUACAAAUUUUUGAUAGAAAGUUGAUGAAAUUUAACAGCAUUGUGACACCAUGUUUCACGUCGGUGUCUAUGUCUUCUUUGGUCAUACCAUUAGGCAUUUCCCAGUCAAAUGAAUAAAGAAGAUUACCUAGGGCAAGCUGAAUAAUCACAGUUCUAAGAUAUAUUCCAGGACAACCUCGUCGGCCAGCCCUAAAGGCCAUUAGCCCAUAAUGUUGUCCUUUGAAGUCGAUAAAAGUACCCAAAAAUCGCUCAGGGUUGAACUCGUGGGGGUUUUCCCUGGAUUCAGGAUCCCUUCCAAUUGCCCAUGCAUUCACAAACACUAGGGUUUUUGGUGGUACCUCACACCCAUUGACACUGCAAUUUUCAGGUGUUGCUCGCGGUAUCAAUGGAAUGGGUGGAUGCAAUUUCAUUGUCUCCUUGGUUAAUGCCUUGAGAUAAGGAAGCUUCUCAAUAUCAUCUUCAUCUCUAAAGCCCUUCUUUCCUCCUAUAUUUCUGAUUUCUUCUUGGGCUUUCUUCAUCACUAUUGGAUCCUUCAUUAGAGCUGUCAUUGCCCAGACCAAGAUGGCUGCAAUUGUAUCAGUUCCUCCUACAAAUAUAUUCUGCUAAGAAAAUUAGUAUAUAUAUGUGGAAAUAUAAUUCAUGUGUAUCUUCUUCAGAUUAAAAAUAAUUAACUUGAAAAACUGACUACCAUGACCACUGCCUUAAUGUGAUCUUGAGUGAUAUCAAUUGCAAAUGAACUGUCAUUAAUUCUGCCGACCAAUUAAAAUGUCAGCGAUGUCUUCUUGCUCAUAUUUUGUUCUCUCUGGAUUCAGGUGGUCGAUGAUUUCUUGGUAGAACAAGUCCAAUUCCCUCAAAAUUUUCUGGAGCCGUGCAGUUAGGCCAGUGAGUUUGUCUACCCAGCCCAUAAAGGGAAAAUAAUCCUUAAAAAAAGAAGCUCCCAUAAUGGCUUGAGCUUCGGAUAGGAGUGUAUGAAAUCUACUUCUUUCCCAUCCUUCAUCCUCGUACCUUUUACUGAAAGCAAUCCUACAGAUGAUGGUGCUUGUGAGAAAAUGCAGUGUCUCGCUCAAAUUGACGAGUUUGGAAGCAGAAGCGAACUUGGAAAUUUUCUCAAUCAUUCUAGAAACCUCAUCCUCCCGAAUAGAACGAAAGGAUUGCGCCCUUUUAGAGUUGAAGAGAUGAAGAGUACAAAUCUUUUUCAUCUCCCUCCAGUAGUUAGUAUAUGGAGCAAAAGCCAAAUCUAGGCCAUUUUAGGAUAACUUUUGCUGGCCAAGCAGGGAAGGCCUACUAGAAAAUUCUAGAUCAUGGGUUUUCAUGACCUCUUCUGCCAUUCUUGCAGAAGAAACCACUAGGGUCGGCACGAAACCGAGGCGCAAGAACAUGAGGGCGCCGUAUUUCUCAGAAAGCUGCCAAAGGUAGCGAUGAGGAGCUGAUUUAUCAAGGUGGAGCAAGUUCCCAAUGAAGGGAAGGCCUGGAGGACCUGGUGGCCGGAAGAAGCAUUCCUCCAUUGUCUCUCUUAUUUCCAAGAGGAUGAGAGGAAGAGCCAAAAGGAUAAUGUUGGAAUCCGUGCAAGCGAUUAAUGGCGAAAAAUAGAAAAAAAAGAGAAAGAAACGUGGUUUGUUUAAUUGCUUAUGUCCACAGGGAAAAAUUAUAUUUACUAUGUUAAAAUUAGAUUUACAUAAAAGGGUAUUUAUACUAACCCUUAAAAAAAAAUUUCAAAAAUAUCCAUGAAUCAUAACGAGGGCACCCCCAACCUAUCGUUUGCCCCACAACAAAAUAAGUUCAAGUCUGAAUAGUAAAUGUCGUCGCUACACUCUCGUUCCACUCCGCUUCACUCCAAUAUUUUGCCCAUUUUCUUCAUAUGUCUUUUCGCUCAUAUAUGAACCACAUACUACAAGAGAUAAGAACUAACAUCAUCAUGGUCUGAGAAGCUGCUUAUAGGUGUGCUAAAAAAAGUCUCUAACUAUGAUUUCCCUGUAAAUCGUAGACCAUCGUAGACCAUCAUAAUCCAUGGGAGAAUAUUACUUACACCCACAAUAUUAUUAUAAUCUAUAGCUAUUCUUCUGCUUAAAUGGGCUGUGCAACCGAUAACUUGUGCUACACCACUGUUUUAAGUAUUUAGGUCCAGAUGUGGGCCUAUGAAAGCAAAUAAAAAAAUGGAAAAUACGUUAUGGGCCUCCUAAGGAAGCUCAAUAUUAGGAUUAAUGGAACAUUAACUCUUGGUUUUUUUGAGGUAAAUACACCUGAAACCUCAAACAAAAAGCAGGAGGAAGGUGUCUAUAUUAUAUGGGCCCUCUAAAUCCAAAUAUACAUUCAAAUCUUAUUGGGAUCCAUUCCAUGGAGAUGGGUGGCUGAAUAAAUGAAUUUUUGACAAAGAACUCUUUUGAAUUUCUUUAAUUUAUAUAUCCUUCUAUAGUGUGACAUGGAAUAAAAUUUAAUAGAGUAAAUCAAUUUAAUAAAUUAAAGUAAUUUAAUAAUUUAAUUUAAGUUAUUAAAUAUAUUUAAUUAUAUAACUUAAAAUAAAAAAUAAUUUUAAAUAAAAAAUAAUAAAUAAUUAAUUCAUUAUUAAGUUUAUAUUUUUAUUUUAUCUCAUGUUACAAGAAAUCGCUGAUAUAUCGUGUGUAUCAUAUGAUAUUUUAAGGUGAUAUAUGGGAAGCAGAAAAAUCGGUAAAUGUCAUAAAAAAUCUCCUCGGUAUAUAUGGAGAUAAAUAAUCGAUUUUUUCAUUUUAUCGGGCCAGGCGGCGUGUUUUCGUCGAAAUAUAGGCGAUAAAUGGUCGAUUUUUCCCAACAUUGGUUUGUGGGGCCCAGGUCAGUCUCCUGCCGUCGCAAGUUCACGCUGUCAGCCUUGUGGGCCCCAGGAGAGAAUCUGCCAUCAAGCCAGCACUUCACGUCCACGCGUCACCAGACCUUGUGGGCCCCAGGUCACAGUCUCCCACCAGCACUUCAAUGCAUCUCAAGCUGCAUUUUGAGGAAAAUUAAAGUUUAACAAGCGCCCAGGUCAAGUCUCCCAUCAGCACUUUAAUGCGUCACAAGCUGCAUUUCAAUUUUAAGGAAAAUUAAGUUUAAAUUAAAUUAAAUUUACAUUUGAAAGGGAAGGUGUAGACCCCCAUAUGGGGCUCGCUUUUUUAUUUUCUGCAGGUCACACUUCUUGCCAGGUGGAGGACUAUUCUAGGGCCAUGUGUGAAUCACACUAGUGCUUUGAUAGGAGCUAUCAAGAGGCGACGCCUGUGGGAGAAUAUGCAGAGGAGUUUUCGUUUCUGUUGAGAAGUGGCAGGCCAGCUGCAGGUUGGCGGGGGUAGUGCUUUUGGGGCAGUGAGAUAUUUUUGGGAGCUGGCAGCUAGAGAAAAGGAGGAGCGUAUGGGGGGGGGGGGGGGGUUAUGCUGGCGGGAGGGAUUUUGCAAGGGGAUUCAGUUUUUGGGAGGUCCUGGAGCUUCAGGGAGAGUAUCCGUUUAGCUUGAGAGGGAGGUCAGUUGAAGAAGAAAGAUGGCUUGUUGAUUUCUGGCCAACCUAGCUGGAGAGGAUUAUUUUCAGGUAUGUUUAUUGUGGAUUUCUCAUUCGCUUCAACUGGUAAGUUUUUCUUCUCUUGUUUUUGUUGAUUCUUGGAUGAUUUUUGUUGGUUGGGAGUAAGCAUGCUCAUAUCUCUUUCUUUAAUGAUUUUUGUUGAGGACCCGUUUGGCUCUAUUUCAGUUUCCCCAUGAGACAUCUGUAACCUUGUUUUGAUUUUUAUUUAGUACUCAUUUGAUUUCAUCCACCCUCAUAUGAGCUCAUUAAUUAAUAUAUGAAAUGAGGCUUGUAUGAAUUCAUUUCGUUCCUAUUGCUUGCACUCUGUUUUCAUUUUCCCCUGUUUCUGGUACCUGUUCGUGGAGUGCAUCAUUAUUCCCAUUUCUGCCCGUGGGAGCAAAGAGUUACAGAGGAUAUAUCUUCAGUGGUGAAUGGGUUGUAUGUUGCUGUAUGAGAGCUGUCGUCAGGAGAGCGUAUUCAGUGAGAGAGGAAGCUGAGGUUAUAGAGAGAUAUGGAGAGCUUGAAAAGCAAGACUACUUGAGAGAGUGGACUGUGAAGAACAAGCUGGGCAUUUGAGAAGCAGAGAAGGCCUUUAAAUUGAUUGAAGAGAAAGGUGUGAUUUCAUGGAACACCCUUAUUGCUGCUUGUUCUCAUUGUGAUGAUCAUGCAAAGGGCUUGAGAGUUUUCAAGCACAUGACAGAAGAAACUAAUGUAAGGUCUGAUGACUUCACUUUUACCAGUGCCCUUGCUGCCUGUGCAGGGCUUGCUUCAAUGAGCCAUGGUAAGCAGAUACAUGCUCAUCUAAUAAGAACGAGGCUGUAUCAGGAUCUGGUAGUUGACAACGCACUUGUGAACAUGUAUGCUAAAUGUGGUUGUAUUGGCUAUGCAUAUGAUAUAUUCAACAAAAUGGUCCAUCACAAUCUUGUCUCAUGGAACACCAUAAUUGCUGGAUUUGGAAGUCAUGGGCUUGGGGAGAGAGUUGUAGAACUUUUUGAAUAGAUGAAUGCAAUUGGGAUAAAGCCAGAUUCGGUUACAUUUAUUGGACUUCUAACAGCUUGCAAUCAUGCCACAGCCAAGCCCAAGCCAAUACCAAGCCCCAGUCUUGUAAGAAACUUAACUUGGCAGAACCAAGCUCCAGCAAGUCAUAUCCCCUCCAGCCAAGUUCCAACGAGACUCAAUCCUCCCACUCACAAACCGGUGCAACCACUAACAGUUUAAGAGACACACUUAAUUUGUCUCCUAGAAAUAAAGCAAGCAAAGCUGUCCUCGAAUGCCGCCGGUGGCGAAACGCUUCCACUCUGACUACGUCGUGCCCUCAACUAUCGACUCUGAUCGCCGUUUCUCCAGUCGACGCGUGUCGUCGGAAGACUUGACGCUAAUCGAUUCUCUGCCAUCUCAUCUGGCCCUCAUGAUGGCUUCGGUAUUUGUGAUAUUGUUGCUAGUUCCAUUAAGGCUGCUACCAAAGUGAUUGAGGAUCUGCAGGAGAAACUUGAAGUUGCUUUGCAGACCAUGAAGCAGUCUGUAGUUCAUACAAGGAAGUGAAUGAGAGGUUCAAUGAAUUGCAUGGGAAGAAUGAAGUGGAAUUCAACAUCUGUGUUGAUGGGGACAUCACUAAAUUUGACAUUGUUAAAUUGUGCUCCAAUGUAUUCUCGAAAGAGUUUAGAGUUCUGGACAGCUGCUUGCAAUGAUCUCGGGGAGAUGCAUAAAGCUUGGAUAAUGAAAAAGGUGAUAAAGAGCUUAGGGAGCUCCAUUGUUGUUCAUGGAAAAUAGGCUAUCUGUUUGACGCAAAUCAUGGUUACUCAUCCUCCAAAGCCUGGAGGUUAUGAUUUGAAAUGCAAGAAGGUCCUCAAUAAGCUGUCCAAGGGCAAAGCCAAGAACUGACUUCAUGAUCUACAGAGGAUAUUCAUAGACUUAUAGUCCGCGAGGUCAGAACGUUGAUUGUUGGGUAUCACAGUCCCUGAAAGAACAGCAACAGAUUGAAAUAGAGAGUUCUUUGACCAGGAUCCAUUUAGUCAAAUUGGCUUGGUGACCAUAAAGGAUGGGUUGGCUCAGUGUUUAACAGAUCUUGGUGGCAGUCCUGAUUCCCAUGUUAAAGCUUUGAUGGCUUCUGAUAUACCUAGUAUAUCUUCUCCCAAUACUGGGUUAUCUGUUGCAUGUGCACCAUUCACCAAGCAAAAUGCGCUCUCACUGUUGGACUGAAGUCACCACCUGAACUAUAAGCAAGGUCUCCCAGCUCAGUUCCUUAUAUCCAUUAAGAUGAGAAGCUGGCUCAGAAUUUCCCUCAGUAGCAACCUUGGAUAUAAGCCACCUUCACAGUCUUUCCUGUUUGCUUCAUAAGAUGAAAAUCUCCUGAAUGACUAGUCAGAAAUGUACUCCUUUCCCAUCGGUGUCAUCCAGCAGCAAAGAAGUUUGGCUGGAGUUGAAGUUUAGCUGGAGAAUGGCAUUGGCAACUUCGAUUGGGUUUUGGGAUCAGCCUUUGGAAUUGGUUCUGGAAUUCUUGCAAUCGCAGCACUUAAGUUUGGCGCUGCCUCAGCAGUCGGAAUUGAUGUAGAUCUCCAAGAAGUCACUGCUGCAAUUCAGAAUGCCGCUCUGAACAACAUAAGCCCCUAAUAAAAUGCAGUUAACCCUAUUUCCACCCAGCCAAGGAAGAAAGACAGUUCUGCACCGUCAUUUGACCUUAAUCAGGCAGCUAGCACUGAAGAUGAUAGGGCUGAUGGAUCUCACAAUUUAGGCGACUUCCCCAUUGACCACGAAGCCGAGCAUAGUCCCGAAAACAGGUGUAUGUUUACAACUUCAGCAUCGAGGGAGUUGUUCAAUUCAGUAGACAAUGUCAUUACCUUCAAGCCUGUGGACUUUAACCUGAUUCGACACCAAGUCAGAAGCUGCAUUGCCAGGAAAUUUUCCUCCGUCAUAGGUGACAAGCUUUCAAUCCAAAUAGAAGAUGAAGCUCUAGAGAAAAUGUUUAGCUGCUUCACAACUGGGCAGUGUAGUUCUCAUAGGUUUCUAGGGCGCGAGGGGCUGACUGAGAGUCACUUAAUGGAUAUUCCUCAUGGUUCUGAAUAUAUGCUGACAUAUGAGGAUCAGAAUGAAGAUACAUCCAGAUCAAGGCCCUUGGUGCUUAGAUGGAGCAAUGAAGAAUUAAGAUUUUCCACUGGCAAUGAUGGAGUUACUCGUCUUCAACACUGUUUAAAGCUUUGGAGUGCAUACUAUGGCGUUCCUAGAAGCUGUAGAACAAGAGAAUAAUUAUGGGGAACCUUAGCAACAUCAUACCACUCCAAGUCUAUGGGAACUGUUGACUAUAUAUGGCAUAUUGAGGAAUUUGUUCUUGUGAGAGUUCUUGAAACCUUACCUGUUGAUGUUUUAAGGAAAAUAGGAGGGCUCUCAAGUGAGAAAUGGAGCAGCGACCAUCCUGCUCUCGUGUGUACACUGGCCUUUGCAGGUGAUGGCAGUAGUUCUUGACCUGGUUCAAACCCUCUGAUUGGCAUUUAUUGGAGGCUAGUGUACAAAAUGCCAUUUUAUGCGGUUUCUUGGAGUUGGGCUGCUGCUCUCAAGUUCCCAUUGAAGGAUAUAUGGUGCAACCCUAGCAUCUCUUUGAAUGAACAAAUUCAUGCAUGGAGUCUUGUCAUUGUGGCUGCAGUUAGAGGUUCGUCAGCUUACCUUAUGCCUUCAGCGCACUAGGUGGAGGCUCGAGCUCAAUCAAAGAGUCAAUAUUUCUGGGGAAAGCAAAAAGGCCUGACGAAGUCAUUGACAUCUUCCAUUUGAUGCGUGUUGACUGUCGUAUAUGUACCCAGACACUGCCGCAUACCUCCUCCACAUAUGAAUGAUCUUAAAUCCUCAGCACAAGGAUAGUUUGAGCACAUGCUAACUGAAGAUGAUGAUGUCCUUCUACUGAUGGCUGAUGAUGAGAUAAAAUUUGAAGUAUGGUGUAUUGGUAACAGAGAAUUAGGAAUAUGCUAUGAAGCAGGGUACAGUUGACUGUGGUGCUUAUCAUGUGACUGAUUCGAGAGUUGAUGGGCUUGGUGUUUCAUUUUGCAUUGAGGGCAGCCUUGAAGAUGCUAAUGUCACUCGUCCUAUUCCAGCCGAGCAAGCAGUGCUGAUUGCUAAUUCAUCAUCACAUGGAGAAUUGGCGUCCCCCAACGGCUCCUUGAUAGCUGCAGGCAGUGAAGGGUGAGCAGGGUCCUCACAACAUAUGACUAUUCAAGCACCCAUUCCCACUGCAUGGCCACCUUAGUAUGGGCACCUUUUGGCCACGUGACUUUCUUCCACUUCCUCGUCCAUUAAUUUUGAAAAUAAUUUUUCUGAACUCCAUUUUGUAAAUAACCUUUUUUUUUUCAAAUAAUUACAACUCUCAUUUUUCAUCCUUAGGGUUUUUAGGUUCCAAAAUCUCGUUUUCAAUAAAAUUUUGCCGCCAUUUUCUUUCUGACAAGCUACUUUCAAAUUUUCUUUGUUUUUUAAAAAAAAACGUUUUAAAAAUACUUGUGAACUAAAUUCCGUAAUUCCAAGUGAUGGAAUUUAUGGAAUUAGUU
rnacentral:lncRNA from 1 species